UUGCACCAUGAUCGUAAGAUUACUCAAACAUGAGGGGAUUCUUCCAUGGAAAUGGUUCACUGACAAGUCUAGAAUUUGAAGACUUGCUAAUUGACAUAAUUGUAAAGGGAUGCUUCCAGAGAAGUUGUUUGAUCUUAAUGUAAGAACAUACAACCCAGAUAAGCUUUCCCCGAUCCAAACAGGCAAAUUACCAGAAAACUUGUUGGCCCCCAAAUUCAAUGACUUUAAGCUUGUGCAAUUCUUAACGGACAAAGGAAAUUCUUCAGAGAAAUUGUUCUUGUAUAAAUCCAAUGCCUCUAGGUUAAUCAUAGAUCCAAGAGAGGCAGGAAGCCUUCCAGAAAGAUUAUUGUGUUCUAAAUUAAACAUUUGUAGUUCUUUGAAAUGCCACAAACAGUCUGGAAGUUGUCCGCUUAGAAAGUUAUGGGAGAGGUCAAGAAUAACUAAAAAGCCAUGGACAACCUGGCAUAAGAAGGAGAUUCCUCCAGAAAAUUUGUUUCUGGAAAGAUUUAGUAAUGCCACAGUGGAAGAGACAUUAGUUAUUGGACCAUCAAAGCGGUUGGAGCUUAAAUCUAUCACUGAAUUGCUGUCAAAAUUUGAUGACAGAUCUGGUACUUUCCCACUUAUGUUGUUGGAAGAAAGAUUCAGGAAUGUCAACCGGGAAGGCCAUGAGUCCCAAAACUCGAGAGGAAUAGUAUCUGAAAUACCAUUAUUUGCAAUAUCAAGACUGGUAAGAUUUUUCAACUCUUGAAUCCAUUUGGGGAAGUGAGGCCCUAGCUUGCAAGAGCUUAGUUGAAUAGAUUCUAUAUGAGAACGGUUUGACAUGUAAUCUGAGGAAGGAAAUCCAUGGAGUGAGCUUUCGGAAAGAUCAAGAAUUUUAAGGUUGGGCAGUUCCCACAGUUUCUUACUUAUAGUUCCUUUUAACUGAUUCUCAUAGAGGAUCAGAUGUGUUAGGGAUGUAAACUUUUGGAUGUCAUCAGGCAAUGACCCUGUAAAUUGGCUUCCUGAAGCAGACAACCGUUGUAAUGAAAGCGAUGUGCAUCCAGACAAGUUGUUGAGAAAAUCAGGAAAUUUGAUAACACCAAAGUUGUUAUAGAAGUAAAAAUGUUCCAAACUACAGAGGUUACCAAGAUAUUUGGGUAUCCCAUCUAACAUGUUUCUGGAGAGAUCAAGGAUGUGAAGCUUAUUGCUGGUCAAUGGGAACAACCAACGAUACAUGGAUGAGGUGAGACUGUUGUUUCUAAGAGAAAGGUCUACAAUAGAUGAGGAAGAAGAAGAGUUGAGAAAUGAAGAAGAAUAUGGAUACAUGACCUGUGACAGCUCACAUCCAUCUAAACUUAAAAGCCAGAGUUUCGGGAGACUGAGAAUAACAUCUACCCAAUGAUUUGUUUUGGCCAGUGAAAUCCCAUCCAUUUCAAGUACCUCCAAAUGAGAUAGAGGAGACAACCACUCAAGGUUCUCAAGUCUACACAUUCCAGCAUAUGAAAGGGAAAGCAAUUCCAAGUUGGUGAGGUUUCCCAACUCUGGAGGAAUGGUUCCAUAAAGAGAAUUAGAUGAAAGGUCAAGGUAUUUUAAUUCUGUCAAGGAACCAAUGGACCUGGGAAUGGUUCCAUUAAGAUUAUUGCCGCCAAGGUCAAGGUACCUUAAUUGAGUCAACGAACCAAUGAUCGUGGGAAUGGUUCCAUUAAGAUUAUUGCCGCCAAGGUCAAGGUACCUUAAUUGAGUCAACGAACCAAUGAUCGUGGGAAUGGUUCCAUUAAGAUUAUUAUAGCCAAGGUAAAGGGACCUUAAUCGAGUCAAGGAACCAAUGGACCUGGGAAUGGGUCCAUUAAGAUUAUUGCCGCCAAGGUCAAGGUGCCUUAAUUGAGUCAACGAACCAAUGAUUACAGGAAUGUUUCCAUGAAAAGAAUUGUAGUGAAGAUCAAGAUGAUUCAAGUAGGUUAAGUUAACCAAUGAAUGGCUAAUCUCACCUACAAGACCAAAGAGCAUCAGAUCAAGAUCUGUGACAUGACCUGUUUGGUUGUUGCACGUUACUCCACUCCAUUCACAGCAGUUGUCUUGUUCAGCUGUCCACAUAGAGAGGCGAUCAGAAGGGUCUUGAAGGAGAGAUUUGAAAUGAAGGAGAGCGUCUUUCUCCUUCUCAAAACACCUGUUCACACCGCCAUUAUCAUCUCCUCCCUCCACUGCUGCCAAUUGGUUGGCACUUGUAGUCUCAAGACAUAGCAAGAGAAGUGAGAAUAUUAUAACAACACAAGGAUGCAUGAUGUAAAAUUGUAAAUGCAAAUCUUAAUUGGUGAUUUUUUUUUUGUUUGUAUUGAUGAAAAUUUGAAGAUGCCCCAUGCAGCUUUAUAUAGUGCUGCCAACUGUGAAAAUGAAGGAUUCAAGUGGAUGGCCUCAAACUGCACAACUAUUUGUUGGUCAUUUAUUAAAAAUUAAGAUAAAAUAUUAACCAGCCAAGUGAAAUUACAAUGCAUAAAAUAUUAGUGUAAAUUACACAGAAAUAGAAUGGUUCAAGUAAAGACAAUAAUUCUCGUGAGAACGCGUAGGAACAAAAUUCUUUUUUUCCUCUUUUUUCAUCAAUAUGGAAACAUAUUUUAAGGCUAAAAAAUAAUAAAUUCUGGUGUUCUUUAAUAAAGUAAAACAAUAUAUAAUAAAAAAUCAACACCAUUCAUCAACGAAUACAGUUUUAGAAAAAUAUAUAUAUUUUUUAUUUUGGUAUGGAUGUUUAAUUGUAAGGCCUAAAAAAUAGAGAUUUUCGUAUAUUUGUUAAAAAUAAAUAAUUAACAUUCGAUCAUCUGUGAAAACAACAUACUCAUCAAUGAAAUAAAGUGCUAUAAAACACUUCCUAUAUCAAUAUAAAUGUCUAUUUUUACGUCAUAAAAAGAUAUUUUGGUAUACUUGUUUUUUUUUCGGAAAAGAUAAAAAUAAUUAAGCAAAUUCAUCAAUGAAAACACCAUAUUCGUCAAUGAACAAACUGUUAAUAAAGACUUUGUAUAUCAAUUUGAUUAUCUAAUUGUAUAAUCUACAAAUAUAUAAAUUUGGGUAUUUUUGUUUUUAUUUUUUGGUAAAGCUUGGCGGCACAUACAAGCCUUGAAGUCAUGGCGCGCCAUGGCGGAGCCAUGACGAGCUUUUUAGAACCUUGAUAUAUAUAUACAAACAAACAUAUUUUAUAAAGUAUAAAUUCACUUNNNNNNNNNNNNNNNNNNNNNNNNNNNNNNNNNNNNNNNNNNNNNNNNNNNNNNNNNNNNNNNNNNNNNNNNNNNNNNNUAUAUAUAUAUAUAUUCUUAAAAAAUAAAAGAUAACAAAAGAUAGGCAUAUUCAUCAACAAUGGUUUAUUAUUUCUCAUUUUUAGAAACAAACUAUAAGAAAAAUUAGAAAAGAAGAAUUGAAAUAAGUUGCCCCAAAUCAAUCGUUCAAAGACUUAUACAUCAUGCGGGCCAUAAAAUCCUUAUUUUCCUUUGAAAUAGAAUCAUUUUAUAAGGCAGAUUAGAAAAAGAAAAAUUGAAAUAAAUUGCCCCAAAUCAUACGAUUCAAAAGCUUAUACAUCAUGUGGAGCAUUAAAGAUGAAGAAUUGAAAUGAAUAGCCCCAUAUUAGACGUUCAAAGGCGUAUAUCUUAUCUGGAGUAUACAAAACUUAAUUCCCAUCGCAUCAUAAUAACCAAACUAUAAGACAAAUUCGACAUGAAGAAUUGAAAUAAUUUGCCCCAAAUUAGACGUUCAAAGACUUCCAGGCUUUGGAAAUUUGUAUUUUUUCAUUUUGUGAUAUCUUUUGGUCCUCAUGUUAACUCAAAGUGGAAAGAAAAAUAAUAAUAAAUAAAUAAUCAGCCUCUACGGGCCUAAGUGCUGAGUGAUAAAUGAUGGGUCUUCAGAGAAUGUUUUUGGAUAAAAUUAGACUAAUUGUUUUUGUAUUUUGCAAAGAAUAAACCGUUCAAAUAAGAGCAAAUGGCCAUUUUACCCUUGUAUCUAAAAGUGAUGUAGAAUUAGAAUAGCAAAUUGUUGUUUGUUUGAGAACUAUUGUAAUUUGAAACUAAAAAUCAAUGUGAUGCGACCAUGAGACUUGUAUAUGUUUGUGAAAAACUACCAUAACUGUCUUGGUCUUGUAGUUUUUAAAGAAGUUGAGACACGAUGAACGCAACAUGCAUGCUGUAGAAGACCUUUAUCAAAGCAAACUUGCAGUGUAAUCUUACCAUUUGUCAACAUAAUUUGGAAAUAUCAUAUGAAUUCUUUCCCUACAGAUAGAGCAAAACCCUUUUUAAAGGAUCGUUUCCCCAAAACAACAAAUCAGAAUGCAAACGAGUGGUUAUAUUCACAAACAUUGAAUUAAACCCCAAUUUAACAAGAAUUUAUGCAUCUCGUCUUCCUUUUCAGUUAUUAAACAACUUCCAUUUAUGUCUAAUUGACACAAUUCUUCCAAUCCUAUGCAGAUUUACUAUCCUAAACAGAUAUGUGAUACCAUUUAUAAAAGUUCCAACUUACAACAUAAACAUAAACCCAUAAACAACUCCAAUUUAAGGAAUCUAUUAUAAAAUUGUCAAUUUAAGCAAAAAGGCACCGUUUAACGUCAAAACUGAAAUUUUUUAAAGAAACAGAGAAACAUUAUUAACAGAAAUGGGAGAACAGAGAAUGGAGAAGAAGAAAAAUCGAGAUUGAGAGAACAAAAAAGAGAAUAUAGAUAUCGAGAAUGAGUACUUGAGAUGAUCCAACAACUUUCCUGAUGGAAGACCGAGAGAGGAACGACGAAGACAUCUUGGGAAAGUGAUGGAAGAUGGAGAAAAGUAGACGAAGCAAAGGCUGUAAAACCUAAAAAGAAAAGUAGGUUAAAGGACGAGGGUGAACGAGUAAAAAUCGAACAAAACCAAACCCACAGACCAAAAAAUCAAUAAAAACCAAUAAAAUCAAAAAACCAAAAAACUGAACCCAAAAUACUUUGAGUUUUUAAAAAAAUAAAAUAUUGGGUUUGGUUUCACUUUUAAAAAAUAUAAAAACUAACAAAAACUCAAGGUAUGAAAUAUAUUUAUUCACUGAAUUAUAUGGUAUUUAUUUAUUUAUUGUGUGAGAGAUAAUAAUAGGGAUGAACAUUUGGACCAGAAAACGAAAACGGGCCUGAACCGGAUAGAACCAAUCGGGCCGGGACCGGAACGAUAUUCUUGUGCAUUUUUAGAACCAGAACCGGUAGGAACCGGUCAUUGGAGUCGGCCCAAAACCGGGAACCGGACUGGAUUAAAUAUAACUCAUGUCUGCUGAACUUCCAAUAGUUCUUGGAGGCCUUAAAAAACGAUCGGUCCAUAGUAAGUAAACGUACGGCUACACAAACAAAGCAUAUCAUAUUAAAAAAAAUCCUGCUUGAACCCUAGCGACAACUUGUGUAACGCCCCAUUUCUAGUAUGUAAAUUAAAUAUAGUAUUUUCCCUUUCUUAAGAGGAACUCGACGAGUCAGUAGCCCGACUCGUCGAGUAGAGACGGGAUUUGCACGCGUUUUGAGUGAGCAACUCGACGAGUUCGUAUCCCGAACUCGGCGAGUCCUCCAGGAUGAAACCCUAAAUCCCAGGAUUUGUACCCUAUUUAAAUGUCAUUAUAGCCUCCCACCCCAGCCUCCAACACCUCUAGAGCAUUUCUCUGUAAACCCUACUCCCCAUUGUUGAGCUUGAGUGUUUUUUGCUAGCUUGGAAGUUGUAGAAGAGAAGGGAGGAAAGAAGGCCAAUAGAAGAGAAAGGAGAUCCAGAAUCUAACUUCCAUUUGCUACACAUUCUGGUAAUAAAGUUAUUACCUUGCUUAUUCUUCCAUUAAACCAUAUUUUUAUGCUUGUUUAUGGUUCUCUUGGAACUUUAUAUGAUUCAAACUCGAGAAUUGAACUCUCCUUAGGAUGGAGACCAUAGAUCUGGAUGUUAUUGAGCUUUAGGAGCUCAAUGUAGCUACCUUUAUGAAAGUAUAGCCUUGUUCCAAACUCUAAGUGCUUAUUGUUGGAUGAUUUUGGUGUUUUAGUCCCAUUCUCGUGUGCAUGCACGUAAAGUUGGAAACUUUACGUCUAAAACCAGCCCUGGAAGCCCAAAUAUAUGAAUUGGAUGCAAUAAAAUUGACUAGAAUCGACUAUAUAGUAAUGGCAUGCAUGGAACUCGACUAGUUGUUCAUACAACUCGUCGAGUCAUAGUCUGGACGUGUUCAUAUGAUGAAGGGGAACUCGACGAGUUGUUCAUACAACUCGGCGAGUCGAAUGAAGUUAGACUCGAUGUUAGUAUCAAAGAAGAACUCAUCGAGUUUUUGCCAAACUCGACGAGUUGAAGCAGUUAGAGGAUUAGAAAGGAUGUUAGGGACUUGGCGAGUUGGAGGCCCAACUCGACGAGUCCAGUCAACUAAAAGUUGACUUUGACCAAAAAAUUGACUAUGAACAGGGGUAAAAAUAGUCAUUUUACCCUAAGAGUAGUUAUCGGUAUCUGAUUUAGUGUUUAUGGGAUUUGUAGUCGGGGAGUUCCGGAGCAGCAAUCAGCCAGUUUCAGAUUUAGCAUCUCAGCAGCCAGCGCUACGAGGUGAGUUUCCUUCCAGUAGGAACGGGUCUACGACCAUAAUGUCGGCCCGUUUAGUUAGCAGUAGUUCCGUACUUCGGUCCGAUGCAGUAGUUUGGUGUGCUUGAUGUCUUUGUGAUUCAAACAUUUCUUUGUGUUAUGUGUUAUGAACUUCGGUUCGAUGCAGUAUGUAGUAUAUGUGUUUAUGCUAGUAGAUAUGAUUAUGAUAUGCUAUGUUCAGUAAGUUUCCGGACUUCGGUAUGAUGCAGUUUCCGGACUUCGGUCCGAUGCAGAGGGCAAGGCCCUGGUUAGUUCCGGACUUCAGUCCGAUGCAGUUUCCGGAAUUCGGUCUGAUGCAGAGGGCAAGGCCUUGGUUAGUUCCGGACUUCGGUUCGAUGUUGUUUCCGAACUUCGGUCCGAUGUAGUGGGCAAGGCCCAAUACGUGUUUAUAUGUUAUUGUAUGGUAUGUGGUAGCUUGGGGGAGCUCACUAAGCCUCGUGCUUAUAGUUUCAGUUUUGGUUUUAGGUACUUCAGCUGACAGGGGGAAGGGCUCGGGAUGAUGGCAUGGCACACACCACAGUUUAGCCUGGGAGAUUGACUCUGAUAUUUUGAUAUCAUCUUGACACUAGUUUUGAUUUGAUAGUUUAUUAUGACAUCUGAUAUACAUGAUUUUUGGUUUUUAUCUUUUGAUAUUUGAUAUUAUGGUUUAGCAAUGUUUUUUAAACAAAAAUUUUUAGGUUGUAUUUUUGGGAUGUUUCAACUUCAAAACGCAUGACUAAACCAAUAUCAAAGAAAAAAUUAAGUAGGUUGUUCAUGUUGGACUUCGAUUGUUCGAUCAUCAAUUCAUCAUCAUCUUAAAUCGACAUAUCCACAUCUUGAUUCCAUCCACAUAUGCUCUUAAUCUUAAAUCAACAUUUAUUAUCCACAAAUCCACCAUCAUUGAUCUAGUUCUUAAUUCGUAACCAUCAAUAGGCAAUGCCAAAAGGUGAAAAAAGUAGUCUACAACCAUCAACUUCUCAACAAUCAGCUUAAAAUAAUUCGAUAUAUAGAUGCUCAUGAAGAUCAAGUAAGAUUAUAUAUUUGUAUUUCAUGUUUUAAGUUCCAUUUAACAACGUAGUUUGUAGUUUAUUGAUAGUUGAUUUUAUUUACUUCUUUUUAUAGUUUAUUUUAACAUAUUUCAUCCAUAAUUUAGUUAAUUUCCAUGCAUAUUUUCCUUUUUGUUAUUUUUUGUCCAUUUCGGGUACUUUCUAGUUUUGUGAGCUUAAUUGCAGAUUUUAAGAAGAUUAGCGGAGUGGGAUCUUUAGGAAGCGAUUGGACUUAGAGGAAGUCAAGGAUCUUGGGCUUUAUAAUAAUGGAGUUAAUGCAUGGAGUGGGCUUGAUGAUUAUUUGAAGGCUUGGAGAAAAUGAAGUUUGAAUUUGCAAGAUGCGGGAGAAUAUUCAAGCGUGCGUAGAUCAUUAAUCGGGCGAGUUCACGAGCUUUGGAGGAUUUGGAGAAGUCAAAUUGGGCUUAAAAUGAAGAAAACAUGAAGAAAAAUGGGCUAGGAGUUGAUUGGAUACGAACUAGGCCAAGUGAGCUAAGCUAUGGAGGCCCAAACCUCAAAGAUGCUACGUCCAGGGACCACGCGCGCAACAGUAUGCGGGUCACGCAACCCCUUGCAGGGGCAAUUCCGGAAAUUCUUCUUUUGAGCUAUAUGGGGAAGGUUGGUGUGCCACUUUUUCAAAACUCUUAGACAUCCGAAUUUGGAGCAUUCUCUCUGGAGUUUUGAAGAUUUUUGAAGGCCAAGAACACCUCAAGAACAUCAUCUUUUCACCUCUUGAUUCUUGUUUAAUGUUUGGUACAAUAUUCUCUAACUUUAUUUCUUUGAGUUUAGUCAUGCUUGGCUAAACUAAUCUUGGUUGACUUUUGUUGAAUCCUUUGAACUUUUGUUGAAUGUUGAAGGAUCCAUGAACAUGUUCUUAAAUCUUUAUGGGAAUGUUUUGUGUUUUUUAACAUCUUAUCACUACUUAUAUGUUUUUAUUCAUGAGUUUAAAUGUGUUUGUGGUGAUUAGUUGGCUAAUUUCUUGAUUAAGUAAAGGAUCCUCAAAUUAGCAAGCAACAAAUGAUUUUUGUGUUGUUUUUGCUUCACACAAUCAUAAAAACAUUUUCUCCAACAUGGUAGCAAAAGCAUUCGACUCCACUUGGAUUUGGUGACUUUUUGGUUCUUAAUGCUAGUUGACUUUCACUAAUUACAUGCUUAAUGGAAAUUGUGACUUUAACUAAGGAAAUUGUUAUGAGAGUCUCUAACCAUUUUAACAACUAAGAAAAGUGUAGGUAAUCUCAAGCUGCUUGGAUUACUAUAUCCAAAUUAAGGAUUUAAAACAAGUAUUGCACCAUUGGAUUCUAAUGAUAUGUUCAUCAAAAGUCAAAGUGAGGAAACCUUAAGUCAACCAUCUUCCCCUUAUUGAUUUUACAUCAAACUUGUAUUUUUGUUGAAAUUGUUUAUUUAAAUCUUAGUUUAAUUCUAGUUUAUUUCAAGUAUUUCAAAAGACCAAUCCCCCCAUUUUUAAUUUAUUGUUAUUUUACAAGUAUUUUUACAAAGAGAUAUUUCGUAGAGUUAUAAAAUUGAACCAAUCUCCGUGGAUCGACCACUAUACACUAUUUUAGUGUAAAAGAUUUAGGGUUAUUUAUUUUUGUUGGUCUCGACAACCACCAUUUAUAGACAUACAUGCAAGAUUUUUGUUAGAUUAGUUUGUAGUAUGAAUGUAUGAUUGUCAAAACUAAGAAUUUGUUUAGUAAUAUAAUUAAUGUAUGAUAUUGACAAUGUAGGAUUUGAAUGGGUUACCAAAUAUACCAUCAUCAAGAUACCGAAAAUCGGAUGUUCAUGAUGCUAAUAAUCAAGAUGACAUUCUGACUAAUUGGAUUGGAAAAGACUUUGAUGACCAAGUAAGAAUUGUACUUUUUUUUUGUUUCAACAAUAAAUCGUAAUAUGACUUUUUCUUAAAAUGUUUAUAUCUCAUGAAUUUGAAGUGGGUUUGACAUUAUUAUUUUUCUUACAUGUUAUUUAGGUUUUAUAGAUAACUUUAGACUAUAAAAUCUCUUGAUUUGGUUAAAAAUUGAAUGAGUUACAAGCUCCACAAGGAAGCAUAUGAAAUCAGAUUUUUUUUCUAUUUCAACUUUAAAACGUAAUCUGACUUUUUCUUAAAAUGUUCAUAUCUCACUCAUUUGAAGUGGGAUUGAGAUGAUUCUUUUUUCUACAUGUUAUUCACGUUUUGUAGCUAAUUUUAGAUGAUAAAAACACUUGAUUCGGUAAAAAUUGAAUGAGUUACAAACUCCGCAAGGAAGCAUAUCAAGUUAGAUUUUUUUUUAAUUUUGUUUCAACACUAAAACAUAAUCUGACUUUUUGUUAAAAUAUGCAUAUCUCACUCAUUUUAAGUUGGAUUGACAUGAUUUUUUUCCUACAUGUUUAGGUUUUGUAGCUAAUUUUACACUAUAAAAACUCUUGAUUUGGUUAAAAAUUGAAUGACUUACAAAGCCCGCACGAAAGCAUAUCAAAUCUGACUUUUAUUGUUUCAGCACCAUUUAACAAUGUAGUAAUUUUAUGUUUUAUUUUGAGAAUAUAGGAUUAUGAAGAAGAUACAGAAGAAGUUUAUAUAGAAGAAACAGUGACAUGCCAUGUUAUGCUAAGUGACGAAUCAGAGCAAGAACAGGGGCAUAAGAACAACAACCAUAAAAAAACCAAAAUUUGCAAUCCAGUAGAAACGAAGACAACAACAACAAAACAGCACAAGCAAAAAAUUAAACACCACUACCAAAAAAGCGAACAUGACAAAAAUAUCAAACAACACCAAAACCCAACAACAAAAAAAUUUCUCAAAAGGAGUUAAGGGACCAGAUUAACCCAACCAGGCGAUGUGAGGGUAAAGGUAAUUGUACCGCUCCUAUUUGGGAUUACUUCGAGAUAGAAUGGAUAAAGGCUGAAGAUGGAAUUGAAAGAAAGUGGGACAAAUGUAAUUAUUGUUUAAAAUUACUUGCCGCAGAUGCAGAUCAGAAUGGGACAACUUCAAUAAACAAACAUUUUAAUGGCUGCAAGUAAAAGGAACAUACGUAAAUUAUAACAAUAGUCUCUAAAAUUAGCAAAUUAGGAAUGAUCUUUAUGGUUUGGAAUUUGCAUCGAUUGGUUUCUAAGUCUAUUUUUUCUAUUUUUUCCAAUUAGAAAGUUCUUAUACUUUGAUGUUGUUUUGAAUUUGGUCCCUAAUCAAUGUAAAAAGACAAAAAAUAAUUAAAAAACAUUUUCAUUGUUCCUUUUGUCUUUAAAUUGCUAUCAAAAUGCUUUAAAAUUUUAGACAAUUGCUAUCAAAAUACAAAAUAUACUCUCAAAAUGUAUUAAAUUUUAGUCAAAUGUUGUACAUUCUAGAAAAAAAAAUGGAAGAGGCUUAUAUAUUCUUUACAAUUAUACAUACAUGAAAACGAAUAUAUACUUGAAAAAAUAGUUUUAAAGAAUAUAUAAAAAGAAAGCUAUAAAAAAUUAACGAAAAAAUAUUAAAAAAAUUGAACCAAAACUCUUAUAAAAAGAAAGAUACAUAAUAAAAAAUACAUAAUAGAUCACAAAUGACUUGGAAGGGUAACCAAUUAUAUACUUUGUAUAUAUUUCUGACAUUCCUUACCUCCAGCCACACUUUUAAUCUGGGUUUUUUUUGGAGGAAUCGAACACAACAAAAUCAGAAAAUGAACUCAUAGAACACAACCAACUCUGUGUUCUUGGUGUUUGUGUGUGAAAAUUCAAAUAUUAAAAAGGAAGAUAAAACUGUUUGAGGUUUUAUUCCUGAAAUUGAAGCUGAUGAAGACAAACACAUGAAAGUCCUAAGGUUUUUCUGGUUCAAUUUGCUCCAGAUUUCGGUAAAGAACCCUAACACCUCGUUCCCUAGUGUCAUUUAACGAGGGAAGUUGAGAGAAAAGGAGGGAAUCUGAGAGAAAGAGGAGUACGAUCGUGUUCCCAAGUUAUUUUAUUGGGAUGAUUUGGGCACAAAAGAAAGGAAAUCAGAGGAUAAUCUUCCCUCCUAAUCUUCCUCCCAAAUUGGAGAGAUUUGGAGAGAAGAGAAUCAAGGAUAAAGAUUAGAACACACGGUUUUUUUAACCUAUCUAUAUAAUCACGUACAUACACACAGAGAAAAAAAAUCAUCCUGCAUCUUCUCUUUGGAAGUCCGCUGCAGCUUCAAUCCUCCAUCAGGUUACACUGUCUUCUCCAAUGAAUUUUUUGGUUGUUAAAUCUUGUUCAUCAGGUUACACUUAUGUUACAACCUUUUUUUUCUGGUUCAUAUAAUAUGUUUACUGUUCAUUAUUGUUCUUAUAUGUUUCAGAUCACAUUACCUGUGAUAAUAUGUUCUUAUAGUUUGUUUCUUCUCAUUUUUUGUUAUUAAAGUUGAAUUGAUUCAUUAGGUUAUUUGUAAUAAUAUGUUUAGAACACCAGUACAUGUUUCCUCUUAUGAUAUUAUGUUUAGAGCAUCAAUACAAGUAUCCUCAAGUUCAAUAUAUGUUUACAAUUUUUUUUUUCUGAAUUUGUUUCUUCUUCAAGAUCCAUUGAUCCGAUCCUCAUACACACUCAUUCUGACGACCAAGGGAUGUAUAACAUGUCAACAACAUUUUGUGAUAGUUCCUUUCAAUAGCAAGUACCUGCAUUAACUAUUACUCAAUGCAAUUCUCAAAGUAUCUCUUGUUGGACUAUUUUGCCCUUGCUUUUAUUUUGGAUGUAUGGCUGUUUUUGCUGCAAAAAAAUAAACACAAAAUUUUCUAUUGAUUUUUAUAGAGUGUUAUGAAUAGGUGGGUCAAUUACACGUUUAAAGAUGAAAAUAAUAAAGCUUUUUGUUGGCCUAAACGAUGACAUAAUUGAAACUAUAAAAAACUUAUCAAAGUUUACAUACAAGUAUUGCAAAAUAUUUGAUUAAAAUAACCAACACUCAUAUAAACCGGAUACAACCCAAGUCAAAAAUUCAUGCCUACCAAAGGAACUAUGAGUAAAUUUUUAUUUACUUUAACUUUUCAAAAAGCUAAGGUGAUUCCUCAAAUUUUUCAAAGGUGGUUCCUAAGUUUUUUUCUACAAUAAUUAUAAAUAAUUUUAAAAAUUAAGGUGGGUUAGAUGACCCAUGUAAGCCCUUCUUAAAUUUUCCAUUGCCACUUAAUAAUCCUUCACAUUUUUUACGUAAAAUAGGUCACAUUGAUUUCAAUGGAUAUUGACCUUCCUUCACCCGCUCAUAUUUUGAAAUCAAGACAAAUGCAAGUUGUUCAUCUAAUUUGCUUGUUGAUUGCUAUUCUGGUACAACACAAACUUACCAUCAAGAAUGGUCCUAAUUUACCUACUAGAGAAACUCUUUUAAAACGUCGACGUGUACGGGAAGAGUUGUUACAUAACCUUUCAAAUGGUGGUCAAUGUCGUCAGCUUAUCCGUAUGAGUGAGCAAGCUUUUAAGAAGCUUUAUGUUAUCUUACGACGUGAUGGUGGUCUUCGACCUACUCAACGAAUGUCUGUUGAAGAGCAUGUUGCAAGAUUUUUGCACAUUAUAGGUAAUGAUUUGAGAGACACAUUUGUCUCUUGGAUGUAUCGGCGCUCGAAAUCCACAACGAGUAGGUGUUUCCAUAGAGUUUUGCGCUCGGUUAUAGCAUUAGAAAGUCUUUAUAUUCAACAACCACAAGGUGAUGUUGUCCCUAAAGAAAUUCAAGAGAAAAAGAGAUUCUUUCCUUACUUCAAGAACUAUGUAGGAGCAAUUAAUGGUACACAUGUUCGUGUCAAAGUACCUAAUAGAGAUGCCCCUAGAUAUCAUGGCCGCAAGGGUUACCCAACGAUAAAUGUGUUAGCUGCUUGUUCAUUUGAUUUAAAGUUUACGUAUGUCUUAACCGGUUGGGAGGAUACUACAUCAGACUUAAGGAUACUAAAGAAUGUGCUUAAUAGAGAUGAUAAACUAGUAAUUCCAAAUGGUAAUUUCUAGUAUCAACUUUUUAUUUUUUAGUUUAAAUUAUUAUUAAAAAACUAAUUACAAUUUAAUUAUAGGUCGCUAUUAUUUAGUAGACGCGGGUUUGCCUCACUCAACUAUAUUAAUGGCGCCAUAUAGAGGUGUUAGGUAUCAUCUAAAAGAAUAUUCCACUCGGGUACCACAAAAUGCUAGAGAGUUGUUUAAUCUUCGUCACGCUUCAUUAUGUAAUGCUAUAGAAAGGGCAUUUGGUGUUCUAAAAAGAAGGUUCCCUAUCAUCAGAAGUACACAAGAACCUUUUUAUUCUUGUGAAACACAAUCAGACAUUUUUUUGGCGUGUUGUAUUUUGCAUAACUUUUUGAUAGUUGAAGAUCGUGACAAAGAUCUUGAAGAUGAGGUAUUACAGGAAGUGUUAAGUGCACAAACAGAGGAAGUCAGACAUAAUUCAAGUGGUGCGCGUGAGGGUAACAACAUGGCAGAGCAAUUUAGGAACUCAAUUGCAAAUCAAAUGUGGACUAAUUACUUAUUGAAUCCAAACAAUGAAAUAAAUAUGUCAACAUAGUUUAAGAGUAAUUCGUUAUAUUACUUCAUUUGCAAUUUGAAUUUUUAUUGAACAUUGUUUUGUGAAUUCAUUUGUGUUAUUUUAAAUUUUUGUUUAUGUUACUUUUGAUAAAUUGUACACUUUAUAACUAUGUUCUUUUUAUAAUAAUGUAUGUUUUUUUAUGUUAUGUAGAACCCGAUAAUGAACAAGCAAGAACCUAUUGUAAAUACUGGUAAGAAAUCACUCUUGAACUGGACAGAACAUAUGGAUGCUGCAUUUGUUGAUGCAAUGGUACAACAACAAGAAAAAGGAAAUAGGCCUUAUGGAAAUUUUACAUCACAAGCGUAUGCGAAUAUGGUUGAGGAGAUCAAUACGAAACUUACAAUGAAUUUUUAAAGUCAUCUAAAAAAUCGUUUGAAAACUUUGAAAUCUACUUUUUCACAAUGGUAUGACAUGUUCACUGGGAUUUCCUUGAGUGGGUUCGGUUGGAAUGCUGAUACCCAACUAAUUGAAGCAGAUGAGGAGGUUUGGGAUAACUUAAUUAAGGUUAGUUUUCAUUUAAGGUUGUAUUUAGUUUAUUUUUAUAUUAUGUUAUUAUGAAUAAUUUUAAUGUAUUUUGGGGUUUUUAAACAGUCAAAGCCUGAUGCAGUUGCACUGAAGACAAAAAAGGUGGCCCACUUUGAACAAAUGUUGGUAUUAUUUGCAAGAGAUAGAGCUUCAGGAGAAAAUGCUGAAACUGCAAAGGAGAGAAAUGUUAGGUUUAACAACACUACGAACAUCAAAAUAGAAAGUAUUUCAAAGGUUGAUUCUUUAUUAGCAAGUAAUGAUGUUAGACUGGAGAACCAACGUGUAGAUGAUGAUGAAGAUGACAUUCAAGUGGUGUCUCCUACACCUGAACAAAAUUCAAGUGCGAAAAAAAUGUAAAACUAAAAAAAGAAAACUCGUAGAUGAAGUAGAACAGGAAGUUGAACCUCAGCCUCAACCUGAACCUGAAACAUUUGAAACAAAGAUUAUGAAUGCUGUUAGUGAUGUGGCUAAUGCAAUGAGGGAAGGUAACAAAAUUUUUGAAAGAGCUUACCAUCAUGAGUUAACAGGUGAUGAAAUUUAUCAAGAAUUGCAGCCGAUGGGAUUGGAAGCCCAUGAAAUACCAGGUGCUCUCAUGUAUUUGGCUCGUAACCAAGCAGAUGCGAGGACGUUGUUUACAUGUCCAAUGAACAUAAGGAAGGAUAUACUAAAAACAAUGAUGGGUGCAGGUAAAUGAUGAAUUGGGAGAAUCGGUGUUUAUUUCUUGGUUCUUUGUUCAACUUUUUUUGGGUUUCACGAAUUGAAUUAUGGUUUUUCGAAUCGUAGUUGAAUUAAGUUGCAUUGUUUUGGAUGAUUUUUAUAGUUUGGUUUCUUUUCAAUUAGACAAAUGCUAUUAAAAGAUAUCCACAACUUUUUUUAUUUUAAUAUUAUUUAUGUGUUGCUAUUCAUUGGUAAUUUAAUUUAAUAUUAUAUGUAGGUUGUAUUUGACAAAAUAUAUAUGUAUGUGUGUAAAUGAAUGUUUAGACAACAAAUAUGACGUUAACAUGCAAAUCAAUUUUUUUUUUCAAUUUCAACUAUGUAUGUAAUAAUCUUGCUAAAAAAUAGGAUAAAAUUGUAAUGUUGUUAUUUAGCUUUCUUUUCUUUUCUUUUCCUUCGAACUCGGGAACACACUUUUUAAAAAACUUCCCUUCCUUUCCUUCGGACUCGGGAACACGAAAAAGUUAAUCAUUUCCUUCCCCUCCCUUUCUUUUCUCUCCAUAUUUUACUUCCCUUUAUUUUCUUUCGUUUAAUGAAACUCAAUUAAACUCGGGAACAAGGCGUAAGGUUUUGAGAGAGAGAGAGAGAGAGAGAGAGAGAGAGAGAGAGAGAGAGAGUUGUGUGUAUAUAUAUGUUCUUGUGUAUGAGAGAAAGAGGGGUUGGCCCUCUUUUAUUUUUUAAUUACUAAAAUAAAUAAAUAAGUAAUAAACUUUUUAAAGAAAAUGAAAGAAAAAUGGAAAAUAAAUACACCAAGGAUGUUAUAGUCAUUUGAAUUUUCGGAGGGACCAAAUACACAACGAAACUAACUCAAAAUAACCAUCAAUUCAAUAAAAAAAUGCAUACCAUAAGGACAAUUUUUGAUGAUUUUAUCGACGGCAUCACGCUAUUGUGAGUUUAAUAGUCUUAUAUUACUAUCUAUCCAAUACACAGGGUAAUAUCUAUAAAACAUGGGGACCAUGUUGGUAAAUUCACUAUUAAACAAGGACUAAUUCUAUAAUUUUGUGAACUGUAUGACCCUUUUUUGUUAUUUCUCUAUUAGGAAGGGACUUUUAUGUACUUUUAUAUGUAAAUUCGUUGUCAUUUAAGGACUAUUUCUUUAAAUUCCUUACUAAACAGGGGUUAUAUUCUAAUUUAUUAAGCAAAGAACCAAUUCUAUAAUUUUUUUUUAAAUCAGAUAGGAAUCAUUUUUUAAUUUGCUGAUAUACAUACAGAGACCGUUUUUGUAAUUUUGUGACAUAAAUGGACGGUUUCUAUAAAUUCACUUUUAAUAAGGAAUCAUUUAUAUAACUUUUUCAAACAUAAGUACUAUUUCCGUAAAUUCUUUAUUAGAUAAGAGCCAUUUCUUAUAAAAUACAUACAAUUAAUUCCGGUAGACUUGACGAACAGUAUCAUGAAUUUGCCACUGUAUUAUGGGUAACUUGUCGCUUCCGGUCCCUCCCUUUCACUAAAUUGACCCGGAAUUGUGCAUCGGCUGUAGGUUUGGAGGUUAGUUUCGGUGUUUGCCGUUUUUUCUUCCAAUCGCGUUGCUUCAGUGAUCUUCCCUGUCCUCCUCACGCACAUACUCAUGGAUGAUGGAACCCUUCCUAUUAAACAUCUUUCUUCAUUACUGAAUACACAUACCAAUGAUGAUCUCGUUGUCUGCCAAGAACAAAUUGGGUUUUGUUGAUGGAACAAUUCCUAAACCUCUGAUUACUUCAUCGUCUUAUUCUAAUUGGGAUCGAGCUAAUUCCAUGGUGAUUAGCUGGAUUUUAAACUCUCUAUCCAAGAAUAUUGCUGAAAGUGUUCUUUUUCUACAAACUGCUUAUGAAAUUUGGUCAGAAUUGAAACAACGAUAUGAGCAGUUAAAUGGAGCCAUGCUGUAUCAAAUUCAGCAACAGUUGUAUUCAAUUUCUCAAGGUACUGAUGAUUUUUCACUGUAUUUUACCAAAUUGACCAAGAUUUGGGACGAAUUACGUGUUGUUCAAGAUCUACCUCCUUGUUCUUGUGCUGCUGCAACUGCAAUUCAUAAAUUUCUUGAAGAACAACGUCUAAUUCAACUUUUGAUGGGACUAAAUGACUCGUAUAAAAUACUCAGAGGUCAAAUUCUUAUGAUGAAACCAUUGCCAACUGUUUCUACUGCUUAUUCUCUCAUUAUUCAAGAAGAACAACAACGUGGAAUUAAUAAUCUAUCGAUUAUUAACAAUGAAGCCAUUGCGAUGCUUGCUUCUUCUGAUAAUUCUUCCAAGAAACAUCUUGUCUGUUCUCACUGUAAGAAAAAUGGACACACAAAAGCUCAAUGUUAUCGAUUAAUCGGAUUUCCAUCCAAUUUCAAGUUUACUAAAACAAGGAAAGAUGAAAAUAAGUCUAUGGCUCAAAACGUUGAAGUAAUCUCUGCAUCAUCUCCUUCAAUUUCUCCUGAACAAUAUCAACAACUCAUGGAUCUGGUCAAUUCUCACAAAAUUGGUCAAGCAUCUACUCAAGCAAAUCUUUCUGUGGUCAAUGGAGCAAUGAAUGAUGAAGGUAAACAAGAUUCAUUCAUUCGUUUUGCAUUGAAUGUUCGCAAAUCUUCUUCAAUUUUACAAGAACAAUUUUCUUGGAUUAUUGAUACUGGUGCUACUGACCAUAUGUGCUCUAACAAAGCUUUAUUUUCUUCUAUUUCUAAACUUCAUCAGCCUCAAUUCAUUGGUCUUCCUGAUGGUUUUAAUACCACUGUUGAAUUCAUUGGAGAAAUUCAGUUACAUGAUUCUAUUGUUCUCAAAGGAGUGUUGUAUGUUCCUUGUUUCAAAUACAACCUCAUUUCUGUGCCAAAACUUACUGCACAAUUACAAACUUUUGUUAUUUUCACUGACAAAGCUUGUAUGCUGCAGGACCCUUUAUCGAAGAAUGAACUCUCUCUUGGCAUUUUUGGCACACAAGUCAAUGAUUUGUAUAUUUUUGAUCACAGACUCAUCAAAUCAAAUUUGUCAUUCUCUUUUUCUGUAUUGUCUUCUUUGGUUACCAAUAAGACUCUUGCAAUGCAUGCUGAUUCAAAUGUAUUGUUGUGGCAUAGACGUUUAGGACAUGCUCCAUUACAUAUUCUUCAAAAUCUUUCUGUUGUUUCUUCUCAUUGUAAACUCACGUGAACUUCUUCUUUAGGAUUUGGUUUUAUGUUUGAAAAAAAACAAAGAUGAUUAUUUACCCAUCUGUUUAAUUAAAUUUUUUAUUUUUAAUUCAGGGAUUUGCAAUAUGGCUCGAUUUACUAAUUUACUUGCAUCACCAUGGCCAUUAAUUAAGACAAACUCCAAUGGCACUGUAGCAAUGCUAUUUCCUGCAUAUUCUCUUUGACUUUGAACUAUGUUUUAAAUUCAAAAUGCAUAGUACCUUUGACAAAAAAAAAAAAGAAAAAAGCUUUAGUUGUAAAUUAUUAUAUAGUCGUAAAUUCAAUUCUGGGUAUAUUUUUCUUUCUUCUUUAUGUCCUAAUGCUUUUGGAUUUAGUAAAGUGUGUGCUAUAUUUUUCGGUUACGACACACUUGUUCCAUUAAUUUAUUUAUAUUAGCAUCAUAUUUUCAUUUUUUUUUCUGAUUACAGCACUGUAUUUUGAAAUAUUUUCUCAUUUGGGUAGAUUUUUCAAAGUACAUUGCCUUAAGAAAUAUAACUGUUACUCUUAUUUGGAAUGCUAUGCUUCUGGAUUGAAUUUCAAAGUAGAUUCACAAUUAUAAAAGUCCCUGUGCAGAAUUUUUUCUACAACAAAUGGUUCACAUGUUAAAAAAAUUAGAUAAACUGUGCAGAACUGUAUAACUUUUACAAACAAGAUUCGAAUUACGAACAAAUUCCAAANUUGCAACCCGAAUUGGAAAUUACAGGUAAUUGCUGGUUGUUAAUACUAAGUAAUGGGAUUUAACAUUUAACUUAGGUAAGGUAUAAUUUAAUGUAACAAUGUGAUUCGAUGAAUUGAACAUUGAUUUACUGAUGCACAGAUAAGGCCUUUGGAAACAUAAAGUGUAUAUUAUUAUAUACUCAUAAAGAAAAGAAAGGUAUAUGGAUGGAUAAUCGUUCUAGCACUAUAUUUCCUAGAAAAUUUGUCCAUCCUAAGUAUAUUUGUCAAAUGUGUAUAAAAAAAAUAAUUGAUUAAAUGUGUACAACUGCAAAACUUCAUUACUCUCACAAGUUUAAUUGUUGACGGUGAAGUGGUUGGAAACCAGGGUAACCUUUAAUUACAGAUCAUAAUGGUACUUUUUUUAAUACUUUAAGUAAGUUUAAUGGUCACAUGUGUACAAAAAUAACUGACUAAAUGUGAACAAAUGUGAUAGAUGGUUACCCUCAUAACACAUUUUCCCUUUUUAUUAUAUACCCUUAAUGGUUAUUAUUAAUUUUUUUGUUAAAAAAAACUUUCUUAAAUAUAAUUAGAAAAUAUAAACUUUUUAUGAUCCCUUAUUUCACACAACACUAGAAAAUGGCCACCCGUGGUGUUGGUGGCAAUUUUAUUGAUAACUGGGACUUAAAAACCCAUGCCAAUUACAAAAAUGAAACAUGGUUUUACAUGAAUAUCUAUGUUCUUCUUUUUUUCAAAUUUGCAAUGAACACCACCACCUUCACAUAAACCCAAUCUUUGAAGCUAUCAAGAAAUAUAAAAAACGCAUAUCUUCCACGACGGUUGAAGAGUAAAGCACCACAUGUUAUACAAAAUCGAAUAGUGAAACCAAUGGCCCCACCAAUAUAGAACCUUUCCAAAUCAAGUCCAAAAUGUUACCAGUCAGCCCCUCCUCUACAAAAUCUUCUCAUCUUAGGUCCGGAACUUACCCUUUAGUCCCUGCUUCCAUAAAUCCUUACAAAUUAAGUCCCAAAAUUACACUUUAACCCCUGUAGAUUCAAAUCUUGACAUUUGACUUCCCGAAACCAACUCCCAACGAAUUAUGAUUUGGACAAUAAUAAUAUAAAAUAAUAAUAAAAAUUACUUCUCAGGGUUUCGGGUUUAUCAUUUAAUUGUUUUAUUUAAAACGGAAUGUUACAGAUAUAAAUGAUAAAUACAAUUAACAAAGUAAAUAACCAAAAUGACCUUUUGGUAAAGCGAAACUCACAGAAUAUAUCCUAUCUAACCAUGGGGUAAACCCAUUGGAACAAUUAAAGAUGAUGUAUGAAAUGAAGUAAGUUAAGCAUUUUAACAAACAAUUUGUGUGCAAAAAAAUUUGUGCUUUAAGGAAAUUUCAUGUAAAAUCACUUCUUUGCCUACUGUGAUAACAAUCACAUGAGGAAGUAAGUAAUAAAAAUCAAAUCCUAAAACUAUAGUUGCUAGUUUAUCCGGGUGGGAAUCAAAAAGCUUACCGGAGUUGAGGAUACGCCAGAUGCACGACGACUUUAAUGGUGGACGAAAAAGGGAGAGCAUCGGGCGCAGAUGGUGAACGAAGGAGUGAGAGAUGCAUAUUAGGAAAUGAUUCGCGUGUUGCCGAAUUUCUUGUGUGUUUAGAAAUGAUAUCCAACCUAAAACAUCAACAAUCCCAAUGUAUUGGAAAAUGCCAUACGAAUGCCACGUAUCCAUGAAGCCGAAGAUGGAAAAUUGACAAAACUAAAAACCAUGUUUUGUUCAUCGGCGGAAGCAAAACCACCUAACUCAUGCCAAACCUUCCAAGCCGUGAGCUCCAAACUUGUAACUAUUCAUAAGUCGUAUCCACAAUUAAUAUGUUAUAUAAUAUCCUACAAAUUGUAAGCACAAGACUAAACUGCAAAUUUGGUCCCUGUGGUUAUCAAAAAAAUAUGGACAUGGUCUAAAAUUUUUUCAACUUGCACCAUUGGUCCAAAAUUGAAUUCUUUUUGUGGUUUUGGUCCCGAGAAAAGUUGAAAUGACCUUUUUGCCCUUUUACUUUUAUUUUUGAAUUUCUUUAUUAUUUUUUUAACAUUUAAAAAAAGAAAAAGAAAAAAUAAAGUGGCCAAUAUUCUACCCACCCGUAACCCUGCUCUCUUUUUUACAUUCUUCAUCUCUUUGACUCCCCNNNNNNNNNNNNNNNNCCAUUCUCAUUCCUACCACCACUAUUGUUGUCUUCAUCCCUUGGCUUUGUCUAUGUUAAACACAUUAACCUGCAAACUUACCUAUGUUCUUUACGUUCUUCACAACCAUUGAUCAAAUAUCAAAACACAAAAAACACUUCGCAUGUAGAUACACCUACCUGCAACUUAGAAAAAACCUACCCUGCCCCCCCCCCCCCCCCCCCUCUCUCUCUCUCUCUCUCUCUCUCUCUCUCUCUCAGAUCUGCAAAAUCCCUUUUACAACACAAUUAAUAUGAUCGAUGACUACACCAAAAUAUCAUGGAACGGUGGGAGGUUAAUCUAAACCAUCCAUGCUAGAAACCAACCUGUAACAUUUUUCGUAGCUAUUCAACCUCUCCGAAAAAAGGUAGAAACUGGUCUCUAAGAUAUGAAGCACAAAAAAAACUAUGAGAUGUAUCAGAACAAUGGGGAAGAAGUAAACAAACUGAUUCCCACCCCGAGUCUAUUCCUGUCUCUGCCUCCUCCAUUCACUCCUCUACUCUCUCAUUGUUGGUUAUCCAAACACCAACAACCAAAUGAACAUAAUUGGUUCCUCACGAAUCCCCAAAUUGAAGAUCUCGCACAUAACCUAAUCAAGUAAAAGUGAGAUUUCUUCAACGGAGAUAAUAGUUGAAGCAAGCCCCACUUCUAAUGAACAUAUUGAAGAAACCCAAAAUAGAAAAAUUAGUUUUUUUUGUCAACAACUUCUCAAGCAUUGGAACUGAUCAAGAUGCAGGUCCUAAAGUAGAAACAAUCUUCGUUUUCGGCCUCUACUUACCUACUAGUUGCAGGCUCUGGUCAAUCGUCAUUUGAUCCAUAUUCUUUUCGAUCGAUUGGCUCUGUUAUAUUCUCCUUGGAAAACACCACCAACUCCUCAUUUGCAUCAUGUACAUCCCUUGGUGACAACGAAAUGGGUCGGUGCUGGAAUCUCAGCUUUCUUGUUGGUUUUGGUUUUAGUGUGUUUUGGUUUUUGAUUAGGUGAAGAAGUGGUGAAGUGAAGGAGUUCGAUGGGUAUCAUGUUCCAAAUUAGGGAUACAAGGCAGAAAAAAUGGGAUAAAUAAGGGAGAGAGAGAGAAAGAGAGAGAGAGAGAGAGAGAGAGAGAGAGAGAGAGAGAGAGAGAGAGAGAGAGAGAGAGAGAGAUAAGGGUACAUAUGGUGUGGGUGGCCCACUUUCUUUUUUCUUUUUCAUUUUUUCAAAUAUUAAAAAAAGUAAAGAAAUUCAAAAAAUAAAAUUAAAAGGGCCAAAAAGUCAAUUCAAUGGACUAAAACCACAAAAAGAAUUUGAUUUUGAACCAAUGGUGCAAGUUGAAAAAAUUUUAGACUCUAUCCACAUUUUUUUGAUAACCACAGGGACCAAAGUUGCAAUUUAGUAUAAGCACAACUGACCACUCUUACAAAUUUAAUAUAAUAUAUAUCAUUUUAUAAUUUUGUAUUAAACUAUUAUGAAAGUGGUUACUUAUUUAAAAGUUUGUAGAAAUCACUCGAUCUAGGCUAAUUGGUGGACUGGGGUCAAUGGUUAAUCGGUUAGAUGGGGAUUAAUUGGAGACCAUUAAGUAUUAAAAAAAUUAUUAAAAAUUAAUAAAUAUUACAUUAAUGCUAAGAAUAUAAGUAAACAAGUUAACAAAUAAUAAACAUGUACUACAUAAUUUAGUUUUAUUUUCAAUUUGACAUGCUAGCUAGAAGCUUGAUUAUCACGAAUGUCAUAAACACCAUAAGAACCACAUAAUACAUAUCGAUCACAAUUAUCCAUUUGUGCACUUAAAAUCAGGUGUUUCUACUUCCACCGAUAUCAAAGCACUGUGUGCUUUCCCAACCCAAUUGAAUGAACACAACAUAGUUCUUGAUAGCGAACUAAAAGCAUAGACCAUGCAGAUAAUUGAAAACUAUGAUGAAGCAGACAUUAAAAAUCGAUAAUAGAUAGAAAUGUAAUUAACCAAGAUCAAGCAAACAUUAAAAAUAUGAGAUCAAGCAGACAUUACAUACCUUGAGUAAGCCUUGAGUAAUUGACCAUUCCCAAACGGUGUCUGAAGUUGUAAAAUUCCUUUAAACCAUCAACAAUGUUGGUUGGUUGCAACGUUCUAUUCUACAAUUGUUGAGCACCCUUGUGAUAUUACCUUUUUAACCUUUUUCUAAAUUUCUAACUUCCUAAAAAGCAUCAUCAAACAUGUCUCCCUUUCUUCAACUUCAACGUCAUUAGAAGAGCUAACACUAAUAUAAAGAUUACUAGGCUUAAUGACUUGUACCCCGUCCUCUGAAUCAACAAGCUUCCCAUCUUCUUCAUCCACAACUUCGCCUACAUCAUUUUCUAGCCCAAUUUCUCUAUUUCAUUCCUUUUAUUCUUGAACUCCAUUGCAGGUUUGCAUCGCUAGUCAGUGUCAUCUGAAUGAAAAGAAAGAAUUAUCUUCAAAAGGUCGGUCCGCCUUACAAGUGUUUGAUGAAACGUCUGAAAAAAGUGAAUACUGAUUGCUAAGAAUAAAUUUGUUUCAUGUGUUUGAUCUUGAUUUCUAAUUCUUCAUUUUUCUUCCGACCUUACUAUAUGAUCUUGUUUUGCCACCAACACUUGAUCACAAAAUGUUAUGUCCAACUGCAUAUCAGUCUUCUGUUGUGCUCCUAUUAAUGAUACCAUUUGAGAACAUCUUUUUCAAAAUACUUCAUCGCAACCUCCAAACUUUCAUCACUGGAAAAUCGAUUUAGGGAAAAAAUUUGGUUUUGGUUCUUGAAUUGCCCUCUGUUUCUUGAUCUUUAUCCAUCUUCAAAUGUUAAUCUAUUUAUUUUAUUUGAUUCUUCUUGAAAUAGCACAACUGACAUAUUUUCCUCUUCCAGGUACCCCAUAUUUUGUUCUUGCUGAUAAUUUUUUAAGAGAUGAAGGUUUUGUUUCACUCUUUUAGGAUUUGUUCCUUUUUUCAUCUUCUUCCUAAACAUCAGCUGACUAAAGAAACUUGGAUGCGCUGCUCUUAGUUAUAUCAAAAUAUAUAUUAUUUUUUGUUUAAGAGGCUUAUUAGAUAAAGCUGACUAAAAAAAUUACUUAACAAGUGACAUUAAUAGCAAAAGAUGAAGAUGAAAGUACAUACAUGGGGGUAGUGUUCUGUGGCCUGUGUGUAUGUGUGUGUUUUAAUUAGGGAAAAAAAAAAUUUGUUUUUAAUAAGAAAACAUGCUUCAAAAAGAAAACAUGAAACCAGGAUGCUAAAAUAAAGUCAAUGGAAGUACAUGCUAUUUCCAGCAUAUUCUCUUUGACUUUGAACUAUGUUUUAAAUUCAAAAUGCAUGGUACCUUUGAACAAAAAAAAAAGGUUUAAUUGUAAAGGAUAAAAUAAAAAGGUUGGAUUUUGACAUAGACAUUUAUGUUGUGAUCGUUUGAGGGGUGACAAUUAACUUUUGUCCAACCAGAGUUUAACCAACUCAUCUUCAAAGGGCAAUAUAACAUACUCACUGCAAAUUCAUUUCUGGACUUCAGACAUACACUUAAGUAGGUUUAUUCUCACUACUGGAAAACAGGUAAUACAAUACACCCUCAUCUAAUACGGUUGUAAUGAAAACCGUAUUAUAAAAUGGCUAAAUUAAUUUAAUACACACAAAUGAAGAAAUCUAAUAGGCUUAAUUAGGUCAGGUGUAAUAGAUAAUAUUUCCAAUUAAAAUUUGUAUUUUUACAAUUAUUAACAAACUUUAGCCUUUGCAUCGACCAGAAUGUUUAACAAAACAUUGGAUGUUCAUUUGACGCAACGUCAAAAUCGAAUUGACCGUUCAUUUGUAUUUUUCCCAUUUUGCCCCUGUAGAUUGCCUUCACUCUUUUCUGGUCAAGCGGCUUACUUAUCAAAGAAUCGAUGAACGACAACAUCAACUGCAAAAUUGAUCACUCUUUCUCUCUCUCUCUCUCUCUCUCUCUCUCUCUCUCUCUCUCUCUCUCUCUCUCUCACACACACACAUACUCUCGAUCGAUCAAUCGAUCGACAUACUCCGACGCCUCUCUUCACUGGCGAGCACCUCUUCAAAACUCAUCGUCAAUCAAGCUAAUUCAGUGUCUCUUCAUCGCCGAUUCAAAAUUGAUUUCAGAUUUAAAUUCGUCGGGUCUUCAGUAUUGAACAACCAGGUGUUCUUUCUAAUAAGUUGUUUAAUUAAUGUCACAAUACAUUAGCAAUUGAUAGAGUUAAUUCCAUGUUCAAACUGUUCAUUCUAUUGCAUAUUUGGUCAUUUGAUUUCCGUUUAUUGGAGUACAUUGACAACUGUAUAUGCAUGAAACUUACGUUUCUUCAUCUGGUUCGUUCUUUGCAGCUCAAGUUCCUCACCCUCAUCUCCAGCCUUCAUCAGAGAACCUUCCGUAACUAUUUCCCAUGGCGUCUGCUUCUCUCUGCACAUUUCAAUAACGAUUCCGAUCUCCUCAGCUUCAAAUCCCCUCUCCUUUAGCAACAUUUCUUCAAUUGGAUUUUCUGAGAGAAAGAAGGUGUUCAUUCUUAACUUUGUUCCUAAUUUUUUGAUUUUCUUAGCAUCAUUUUACAUAACCAGUUGAAAAUUUUGGGUUUUAGCUACAUGUUUUCACUAUGGUUUGAAUAUAACCUGUCUUUUUAUAAAAUGAAAUAAUUAACUGAAACAAACAAACUGAUGCCAAACCGAGAUUAGUAUGAAUCUACAUAUCUGCUAGAUAAUAAUAAUUGAUUAUAUUGAUUACAAACGAGAGUGUUCUCAUUCUAAUGAUUUUCAAUGGAUAAUGAGAUUGGUGUUACAUCUGCCACUAACUUUGAUAUCCUUAUCCGGUUUGAUUAAUGUUAAAAAUGUUAAAAUGGAGAUUGUUGUUGGUAAUGUGGUAUAGACCCCUUGUAAUUAACUUUGUUUAUCUUAGUGCAUAACUAAAAUUUGACUGUAGAUUUCAACAUUCUAGAACUGAAUGAUAGCUAUGGUUUCUUGAAUAGUGCAGGAGCAUCCAAAAUAAUCGGAGUUUUGUUCAUAGAAUCAUGUGUUCAUCAAAAGAGCCACCAGCAGAAACAGGGCUCACAUCAAAAGCAUUUGAAUCACUAAAGAUUGGGUCAACAACCAUCAUAGUGGAAGCUCCUAAAAUGUUGAAGACAACAACUUCUUUGCCUUGUCUCAGAGUUAAUUCUGUUUUAGUUAAAGCCGAUGAUGUUGGCAGGUAAAUUUUUUACCGAACAUCUAUAACAAGAGAGCUUUUUGGUGGAAUUUUUUCAUUAUAAAACUUUAAAUGAAAAAGCUCCUUUUAUCUCCAUAAUAGAAACGUUAUUUUAGUUUGUUAUUUGUGGGGACCUUGUAUAUGUUGUCUAUAUACAAUUGGUUGAAAACCCAUGGAUCCACCAAAUCAUUGAAAGCUUGUUAAUUAACAAGCUCUUUGAAAAAGAUCAUCCAAUAACUUCUUCAAUUUUCUUGAGUUUUUUUUUUUUUACAUGAAAAAGCUCCUAUUGUGAUGUUCUUAUUAACUAGUUAUUUGGUUUCAUUUCAUACCUUUUUUUAGUAAAUAUCAUAUAUGCUUAAUAAAUUUGGAACCAGUUAAAAGGGUGAAGGAUAUCUUUAAUUAAUAUACACUAACAGAGACAAUGGUGCCUUUAAAGAGAAACUUAUUAAUUUCAUGAACAAAAGUUGAUCUAUAUUAUAGCAAAUUUUUUUGAAGGUUGUGUUCAAAGUAAACAACUGAUUUUGAUAUUUCCAUUUCUAAACUAUACUUAAGAGUAUUACUUUGAUGGAAGAUCAUAGACACAUCCUCAAGAUUAUAGUUUUUGAUUAAAGUAAAAAACUAAGAAUACACAUUUGAUAUAUAAGAAAUAAGGAAUAUUAUCACCAUAACUAUAGCAUGCCACCGAUGUUAUCUUGUUUAAUGCACCUUGUGUGCAAGAUUUUAUUAAGGCAUUGUAUUUUUUUUUUUUUUUUCGAAUUUACCAUUUAUAGCAUCUUACUUUCAAUUUUUCUUUUUGUUUUUUAGAUAUUAUUCUUUGAAAAUUUUAUCAACUACUUUGUAAUUUGUAGAGAUUGAUCCUUCGCUCACAACUCACAUGGGAGGGACAAUGAGUUUUUAACAUCAUUAUAAAUGGUGAUAACAUGUUUCAAGAGAUUAAUAUUGUCAAAAUGAAUGGAGAUAUUAAUAGUGCUCUUGUGCUAACAGUCCAUGUUAGCAGGAGGAGUUUGACAAUAAUUUUGCAGCUUGUAAAAGGUAGUCAUACCAGUCAUAUCAUAAUCAGUGCCAUAGAGACCAUAGAGAUCUUUGAAAUUGUUAGAGCCGAGGCCAAUACUUCAAUUGAUUAAGGUACUUUUAAAACAUUUCUUGGAAUUUGAAGCUUUGAAAAGGAUUCUUAUGAAGUAAAAAUUAUUUUUUUAUGUUGUAGUAAAAGCUUUGCAGAAAUUGAAGAGUUCUUUUCAGUUGGAAUGGCGAUCCAUGUGUUCCACAGCAGCAUCCAUGGAGUGGGAUUGGGUGAUGAAUAAGGCUAGAAUGCACAGCCGGAAUGGGCUAGAAUGUAAUCAGGAAUGCAUUGCAGGAAUGGGGGAUGUGACAUCAAGUACAAUUGUUUAUGGUGUAUUAGAUUCUUUUAUGUGAUGGUUUUAAUACUAUAGAUAGGAUACAUAUAGAGUACAGUUAAAUUACAGGUAAUUGCUGGUUGUUAAUACUAAGUAAUGGGAUUUAACAUUUAACUUAGGUAAGGUAUAAUUUAAUGUAACAAUGUGAUUUGAUGACUUGAACAUUGAUUUACUAAUGAACAUAUAAGCCUUUUGGAAACAUAAAGGGUAUAUUAUUAUAUACUCAUAAAGAAAAGAAAGGUAUAUGGAUGGAUAAUCCUUCUAGCACUAUAUUUCCUAGAAAAUUUGUCCAUCCUAAGUAUAUUUGUCAAAUGUGUAUAAAAAAAUAAUAAUUGAUUAAAUGUGUACAACUGCAAAACUUCAUUACUCUCACCAGUUUAAUUGUCGACGGUGAAGUCGUCAGAAACCAAGGUAACCUUUAAUUACAGAUCAUAAUGGUACUUUUUUUAAUACUUUAAGUAAGUUUAAUGGUCACACGUGUACAAAAAAAACUGACCAAAUGUGAACAAAUGUGAUAGAUGGUUACCCUCAUAAGACAUUUUCCCUUUUUAUUAUAUACUCUUAAUGGUUAUUAUUAUUAUUUUUGUUAAAAAAAAAAACUUUCUUAAAUAUAAUUAGAAAAUAUGAACUUUUUAUGAUGCCUUAUUUCACACAACACUGGAAAAUGGCCACCCAUGGUGUCGGUGGCAAUUUUAUUGAUAACUGAGACUUAAAAACCCGUGCCAAAUACAAAAAUUAAACAUGGUUUUACAUGACUAUCUAUGUUCGUCUUUUUUGCAAAUUUGCAAUGAACACCACCACCUUCACAUAAACCCAAUCUUCAAAGCUAUCAAGAAACAUAAAAAAAGCAAAUCUUCCACGACGGUUGACAAGCAAAGCACCACAUGCUAUGCAAAAUCCAACUGUGAAACCAAUGGCCCCACCAACAUAGAACCAACCUUGAAGUUCGUCUAUACCUUCACCCUCACUUUCACCAAUGCUAUGUUGUAUUCCCGAUUCUUCGUCUCCAUGACAUUUUUUGGUAAGGGGAGGUCCACAAAGCCCUAAGUUCCCUUCGUAUCUUGAAGGGUCAAAGGUCUGAAGUUGUGUGCUGGAUGGGAUUCUCCCUGACAAGCUAUUAUCUGAGACGUCUAGGUAAUUUAGCCAAGUCAUUUGAGACAUGCUUGAUGGUAUUUCUCCUGAAAACUUGUUUCUAGAUAAAUCCAAAGUUAAAAGGUUUUUCAUCUGACCGAUUUUCCAUGGAAUCUUUCCAAGUAGAGCGUUUUUAGAUAAGUUGAGUGCAAUCAGUUGAUCAAGAUUGGUAAUCUGAUAUGGGAUUUCCCCUGUUAAGCUGUUGCUUGACAGGUCGAUGCUCCUCAACAAUACCAUAUUACUUCUGAUGAAUUCCCGUUCGGUUCCUUGCCACUGGAUCAUCACAUGGUCAAUAUUAUAUGAAUAUGUUCCUAAUGAAACUCCACGAUCUAAAUUCUGUAGUUGAGAGAAUCCUUGUUGCACCAUGAUCGUAAGAUUACUCAAACAUGAGGGGAUGCUUCCAUGUAAAUGGUUCACGGACAAGUCUAGAAUUUGAAGACUUGCUAAUUGACAUAAUUGUAAAGGGAUGCUUCCAGAGAAGUUGUUUGAUCUUAACAUAAGAACAUACAACCCAGAUAAGCUUUCCCCAAUCCAAACAGGCAAAUUACCAGAAAACUUGUUGGCCCCCAAAUUCAAUGACUUUAAGCUCGUGCAAUUCUUAACAGACAAAGGAAAUUCUUCGGAGAAAGCAUUCUUGUAUAAAUCCAAUGCCUCUAGCUUAAUCAUAGAUCCCAGAGAGGCAGGAAGCCUUCCAGACAGAUUAUUGUGUUCUAAAUUAAGAACUUUUAGUUCUUUGAAAUGCCACAAACAGUCUGGAAUUUGUCCGCUUAGAAAGUUAUGAGAGAGGUCAAGAAUAACUAAAAAGCCAUGGACAACUUGGCAUAAGAAGGAGAUUCCUCCAGAGAAUUUGUUUCUGGAAAGAUUUAGUAAUGCCACAGUGGAAGAGACAUUAGUUAUUGGACCGUCAAAGCUGUUGGAGCUUAAAUCUAUCCUUGAAUUGCUGUCAAAAUUUGAUGAAAGAUCUGGUACUUUCCCGCUUAUGUUGUUUGAAGAAAGAUUCAAGAAUGUUAACUGGGAAGGCCACAAGUCCCAAAACUCAAGAGGAAUUGUAUCUGAAAUACCAUUAUUUGCAAUUUCAAGAUUGGUGAGAUUUUUCAAUUUUUGAAUCCAUUUGGGGAAGUGAGGCCCUAGCUUGCAAGAGCUCAGAUAAAUAGAUUCUAUAUGAGAACGGUUUGACAUGUAAUCUGAGGAAGGAAAUUCUUGGAGUGAGUUUUCGGAAAGAUCAAGAUAUUUAAGGUUGGGCAGUUCCCACAGUUUCUUACUUAUAGUUCCUUUUAACUGAUUCUCAGAGAGGUACAGAUCUGUUAGGGAUGUGAACUUUUGGAUGUCAUCAGGCAAUGACCCUGUAAAUUGGCUUCCUGAAGCAGACAACCGUUGUAAUGAAAGCGAUGUGCAUCCAGACAAGUUUUUGACAAAAUCAGGAAAUUUGAUAACACCAGAGUUGUUAUAGAAGUAAAAACGUUCCAAACUAGAGAGGUUACCAAGAUAUUUGGGUAUCCCAUCUAACAUGUUGCCAGAGAGAUCAAGAAUGUAAAGCUUAUUGUUGGUUAAUGGGAACAACCAAUGAUACAUGGAUGAGGUGAGAUUAUUGUUUUUGAGAGAAAGGAUAUGAAUAGAUGAAGAAGAGUUGAGAAAUGAAGAAGAAUAUGGAUAAAUGACCUGUGACAGCUCACAUCCUGAUAAACUUAAAAGCGAGAGGUUCGGGAGACUCAGAGUAACAUCUACCCAAUGAUUUGUUUUGGCCAGUGAAAUCCCAUCCAUUGCAAGUCCCACCAGAUGAGACAGAGGAGACAACCACUCAAGGUUCUCAAGUCUACACAUUCCAACAUAUGAAAGGUAAAGGUAUUGCAAGUUGGUGAGGUUUCCCAACUCUGGAGGAAUGGCUCCAUUAAGAUUAUUGUAGCCAAGGAAAAGGUGACUUAAUUGAGUCAACGAACCAAUGAUCGCAGGAAUGGUUCCAUGAAAAGAAUUGAAGUCAAGAUCCAGAUAAUUCAAGUAGGUUAAAUUAACCAAUGAAUGGCUAAUCUCACCUACAAGACCACAGUUCAUCAGAUCAAGCUUUGUGACAUGACCACCUGUUUGGUUGUUGCAUGUCACUCCACUCCAUUGACAGCAGUUGUCUUGUUCAGCUGUCCACGUAGAGAUGCGAUCAGAAGGGUCUUGAAGGAGAGAUUUGAAAUGAAGGAGAGCGUCUUUCUCCUUCUCAAAACACUUAUCAUCUCCUCCUCCCACUGCUGCCAAUUGGUUGGCAGUUGUAAUCUCAAGACAAAACAAGAGAAGUGAGAAUAUUAUAAAAACACAAGGAUGCAUGAUGUAAAUGCAAAUCUUAUUUGGUGAUUUUUUUUGUUUGUAUUGAUGAAAAUUUGAAGAUGCCCCAUGCAGCCUUAUAUAGUGCUGCCAACUGUGAAAAUGAAGGAUUCAAUAAUUCUCAUGAGAACAGUAGGAACAUAAUGCUUUUUUCCUUUUUUUUUCAUCAGUAUGAAAACAUUUUUUUAGGCUAAAAAAUAAUAAACUCUGGAAUUUUUUUAAUAAAAUAAAACACUAAAAAAUGAAAAAUCAACACCAUAUUCUUCAAUGAAAUAAAGUGCUAUAAAACACUUCCUAUAGCAACAUCCAUAUAGAUGUCUAUUUUCACAUCAUAAAAAGAUAUUUUGGUAGAUUUGUUUUUAUUUUUUGAAAAAAAAAAUAAUGCCCUAAUAAAUAAAAAGAAAAUAAAAACAUCAGAAUAGAGACUUUGCAUAUCAACAUGGAUGUUUAUUUGUACAACAUAAAAAUAUAUAAAUUUGGGUCUUUUGUUUUAUUUUUCCCGAAAAGUAAUAUAACCUUAAAAAAUAAAAGAUAACAGGGAUUAGGCAUAUUCAUCAACAAAUGGUUUAUUAUAUCUCAUUUUUACAACUAUAUUCUUUACAAAAAAAAAAAAAAUACUGAAAUUAUUAUUUUUAUGCUCUAAAAAAAGAUAUCAAUAUAAAAGGUUCCUACCAUUUUUAACAAGAAUUAUCUUUCUUGCGUUUACACUUUACACACACCUAGUGAGUUGUGAUUCGUGUGGAGCAUAAAAUCCUUAUUUUCCUUUGAAAUAGAACCAAACUAUGAAAGAAAUUAGAAAAGAAGAAUUGAAAUAAACUGCCACAAAUCAAACGUUCAAAGAUUUAUAGACUCUGUAAGGCAUAAAAGCCUUAUUUUCCUUGAAAUAGAACCAUUCAAACUAUAAAACAACUUUAAAAAAAAAAAAAAAAAAAAGGACAAUUGUAAUGGAUAGCUAGCCCCAUAUAAGACUUUCAAGGACUUUCAAGUCUUGGAAAUUUGUAUUUUUCCUAUACAUAUCUUUUUUCAUCUUAUCAUAUCUUUCGAUCCUCACUUUAUGUCAUUGUAAAUCCACAAAAGCAAACUAAUCAUUCAGGAAAAAAGGACAAAUGGUGGGUUAGUGCCUGGAAACAACCAUAUAUAGCUAGCUGUCCAGAUCAAGUGCUUAAUUAUUAAGCCUAUUAAGUCAUAAAGAAUCAGUCCCUAAUGGCAUAAGAGCUGAGUGAUAAAUGAUGAGUCUCCAGAGAAUGUAUUGGAUAAAAUAAGGCUAANUGAGUCUCCAAGAAUGUAUUGGAUAAAAUAAGGCUAAUUAUUUAUGUAUUUUGGAUUGAAUGAACCAUUCGAAUAAGAGAAAACAACCAUUUUACCCUUCCAUCUAAAAGUAAUGUAGAAUACCAAGUUGUUGUUUGUGAGAACUAUUAAAAUUUUAAACUAAAAAUCACUUUUAUAUAUAUACGACCAUGAGACUUACAUAUGUUUGUCAAAAACUACCAUAACUGUCUUUUGUCAAAGCAAACUUGCAGUGUAAUCUUACCAUUAUUUUCUACAGAUAGAGCAAAAUCCUUUUGGCUUUUGCAAUGCAUUGUUUCCCCAGACAACAAAUCAGAAUGCAAACGACUUGUUAUAUUCAGAAACAUUGAAUUAAACCCCAAUUUAACAAGGAUUCAUGCCUCUCAUACUCCCCUUGGGUUAUUAAACAACUUCUAUUUAUGUCUAAUUGAGACAAUUCUUCCAAUCCUAUGCAGAUUUAAUCUCCUACACAGAUUUUUAUGAAACCAAUUAGAAAAGUUCCAACUUCCAACAUAAACAUUAACCGAAACAACUCUAAUUUAUGGAAUCUAUUAAAAAUUUGUCAAUUGAAACAAAAAGGCACCGUUUAACGUCAAAACUGAAAAUUAAUAAUAAUAAUAAUAUUAAAUGUGAGCAAGAGAAACAUUAUUCAACAGAAAAUGGAGAACAGAGAGUCGAGAAGAAAAAUCGAGAUUAAGAGAACAAAAAGAGAAUAGAUAUAUCGAGUAUUGAAUAGUUGAGAUGAUCCAACAACUUACCUGAUGGAAGACCGAGGGAGGAACGACGAAGACAUCUUGGAACAGUGAUGGAAGAUGGAGAAGAGAAGACGAAGCGAAGGCUGUAAAAACUGAAAAGAAAAGUAGGGUUAAAGGAGGACGAGGGUAAACGAGUAAAAAUCAAAUUCAUAAGCUAAAAGGGGAUAACAAAACCAAACCCACAAACAAAAAAAUCAAUAAUCGAUAAAAACCAAUAAAAUUAAAAAACCAAAAAAUUGAACCAAAAAUAGUUUGAGUUUUUUUUUUUAAAAAAAAUAUAUAUAUAUUUGGUUUGGUUUCAGUUUUAAAAAAAUAUAAAACCGAACCUCAAAUUUUAUGAAAUAUAUUUAUUCACUGAAUUAUAUGGUAUUUAUUUAUUGUGUGAGAGAUAAUAAAAAUCGAAGUUCUGUUUGGUGAUUAAGCAGGGCCGGCCUUGCCUUGUGUCAAAUUAAGCAAGGGCUUAGGGCCUUGCUUGUUUACUUUUUAUUGUAUUUACCUCUUAAUUUUACAUCUAAAUAUGGAACCGAAUAAGCGUGAGGACGAAUAAGUGUGAGGAGGAAGUCUAAAAGAAAAAUGCACAUGCUUGCCCUUCCCCCGUAUGUCUCCCACCAACAAAAAAAAUUUAUUGGGUUGUUCGUUUUUAAAAAGCUAAUAAGUUGAAAAAGUGUUUGACAAACUCAAAAGUAUUUUUCAUAAUAGUUUUUCCAUUAGUUUCAAAAAACACUUUUUAAAAAGCAUGUAAAACUUGGUUUUUAAAAACUGCUUUUGACUUUUUAACCAAAAUAACUUCAAAAAGCACUUUUUAAACCAAACACAUUUUAAUUUAUUGACUUAUUGGCUUUCUCAUCAUAAAAGUUAAUCCAAACACUUUUAAAAAACUUAUUUUACCACCACUAUAAGCCAAUAAACAUUUUUAUAUAUCGCGUCGUUCCGUAGUUUAAUAAAAGAAAAGAAGAGAAGAUAAAAGAAAGUCAUAAGAGAAAAUAAAAAAAGAGGAGAAAGGAAAGGAAAACAAAAUUUUGUUUUGAGUUCCCGAGUUGGAGAGAAAUGGAAGGAAAAUGAAUCAUUUUGUUCUUUCUUUCCAAAUCCUCCCAAAUCGGAAGGAAAGUUAGGAGGGAAAAUGAUCCUCUCAUUUCCCUCCACUUCCUUCCUUUAAUGAAACUUAGAAACACCAAUUUGUUUUAUUUUCUUCUCAUUUCCACCCAUUUCAUUUCCUUUCUCUCGUUAAGUUGAACUCGGGAACGGGGUGUAAAAGUACUUCUAGAGUUCAAAAAGCACUCACAAACACCCAUUUAAUAAAGUAUUGUGUUUCAUAUACAAGGCAAUCCUUCUCCUUCAUUGUUUUCUGAUAAACUCCUUUUGCAAAUUUUGUGUUGUUUGUGGUUUGUUUCCAACGGGCCUCAAACUACAAGCCUAUUUGUUGGUCAUUUAUUUUAGCAAAUAAGAUAAAAAUAUUAUCCAGCCAAGUGAAAGUACAAUACAUAAAAUAUUAGUUUAAAUCUCUCUCUCUCUCUCUCUCUCUCUCUCUCUCUCUCGCACACACACAGGAAUAAAAUUCUUGUUUUUUUUCAUCAACAUAGAAACAUUUUUUAAGGAUAAAAAUUAAUAAAUUCAGGAAAUUUAUUUGAUAAAUAAAACACUAAAAAAGGAAAAAUCAACAUCAUUCAUCAUGGAAUAUAAUGUAAAAAAAUGAAGUUUAAUACCAAUAUGGAUGUUAAAGUAUAAGACAUAAAAAAUAUAAAUUUUGGUAUAUUUGUUAAAUAUAAAUAAUUAACAUUCAUCCGUUAGCACUACAAAUUCAUCAAUGAAAUAAAGCUCUAUANAGCGGCUUUUGAAAGCUACGAUUGCUGAUCAGGUUCUGAAGUCAUACGGAAAAUAGUUAUUAGACUUAUCCAAGUGGGAGACUGUUGGAUUAGUGUCUAAGUCCAUAACUAUUUUGGUAUGUACUUGACCCGAUUAUGAGCAUGGUCCUUUUGGGUUGCCUUCACCAUAGCAAUAUGUAGGAUGAAUUAAGGAGAGAGAGGUUUAAAUAUGAUUUAUUAAUAUAUUAUGAGAAUAAUAUAUUAAAGGAGAAAUCAUAUUGUUUAAUUAAUAUUAGUCAAGAAUUAAUUGAUAAUUAAUUUUGUGGCUAAAAGAGAUUAAUUAAAUUUAGGGGACUGGACUGCAAUUAUUGGAUAAUUGAGUUAUUGGGCUAAGGAAUGCUAAAGGAAUAAGGGGUGAACGAAAUUAUGAUGGGAGCCCAUCAUAUUUUCGUCCAUAGCCAUAUCCAAAAGGUUCCAUGGGCUGCUUAGAGUUUAAGCUGCCCAUUAGGGUUUUGACUGAAACCAUAGCAGCCCACACAAGUAUAUAAAGGACCCCUUAGGCCCUAAAAACGUGGACAACUGAUUCUCUAGGGUUUCUAGCCGUUUUUGGGCAGCCUCCUUUCUUCUCCUCUUCAUCCAAGUUGUAUAUGGUGUUUGUGACUCCAUUAGAGGUGCAACACUUGAUGCACUAAGCUUUUGAAGCCAAUUCAAGCAAGGAAUUGAUUGUUAUUGCUAUAUAACAAUCAAAGGUAAUUCUAUAAACCCUAAUUCAAUUUAUUAUAUUUUAUAUCUAAGUUUAUUAGUCUUGGAUUCAUUGCAUGUACAAUAGAGAAACCUAGAUCCAAGCAUUAGGGUUUGUAUGAGCACAUAGGAUUGUUCUUAUGCCUAAAACCCAUCAGAAUAUAGACCAAUGGUUUUAGUUCUUUUAAGUAAUGAUUUACCUAUCUUUAUAUCAGGAGACACAUGUUUAAAUUAAGAAACACAUGUUUAAUUAAUGAAAAUUUCGGAUUUUAAGGGAUACUGAUUCUUUUAAUUUUGAAUUCUGAUUUUUUUAAUUAAUUCAUUUUUAAUUCUAACAUAAUUUUUGAUUUUACUCGAAUUUAUUCUUUUAGAUUGCAAUUCUAUUAGAACAAUAUUCUAUGAAAAUUCCAUAAUAUAUUCUAAUAGAGUACAUAUUUUGAUUGAAGUAACUUCUUGUAGCAAAACAAUAUUCUUGAAGUUUCAGUUGAAAUAUAACGUAAUCUUUAUAUAUUCAAACAUUGAAAUGUAAAUAUAGAUUCAUACAUCUUCUUACAGAAAGAGAGAGAGAGAGAGAGAGAGAGAGAGAGAGAGAGAGAAUGACAGUGAGGUGUGAGGCACAGGAAGAAGAAAGAAAUAUGUGUUUUGUAUGGUCGGUUAGGGUUUUUAAUUCUUAAACUAUAUUGCCUAAACUAAAGGGAUUAAUUAAAUAUUUAUUUAAUUAAUAAAAUUAAUUAAUAGAUAACAUUAAAAAUUUACCUUAUUUAGGUUUUUAAAUGAUUGGCUCNUAUAUAUAUAUAUAUAUAUAUAUAUAUAUAUAUAUGACAAAACUUCAAAAAUGGUCCCUAUGGUUUCACAUAAAUCUAAAGUUUGGUCCCUAAUUUUAAAAAACCUCACGGAUGGUCCAUGUGGUUUAAAAACGUUUAAUAUUUAGUCCUUCCGGCUCACUCUGUUACCAUUUAGCAGUUAAAUUGUUUCUCAACAUUAAAUUGCAGGGGCAAUAUUGUCGUUUCACUUUUAACCUUUACUCUUUAAAAGAAAGAUUGCAUGCUCGAUUUUUGUGCAAACCCUUUAUCUGUGAUCAUCAUCUCUCUUUUCCCUUCCGUUGUUGGUCGACUGUUACACCCUUUACAAUAUCUAAUCGCUUCGCAUUCAAAGAUGGUGACUUGCUGAUGUAGGAAUAAAGCAAUGAAUAUCACUUCAUGGACGGAUCGUAACCUGGAAGGAAAUUUUGGAACUGUACAAGAUGUGGGUUCCUUCGAUGGUCUGACCCUCCUAUGUGUGUUAGGGCAUUAGUGGUGAUUCCGGGUUUGAUAAGAUAAAUGAAUCAAUUGGAAGAGAAGGUUGCUAUUACGAGUGCAGAACUAUGGAACUACCAGCUGAUGUUGUUUUGUUCAUGGGUGUUCUUUUUUUGGUUUUAUUUUAAUCAGUAUGUAUCUCUUUUCGGAUGGAUAUCUAUUUUCGUUUUUAUUCAUUAUUCGGGGGUUGAUGAAAGAAACCAUAUAGUUAUAUGAGUAAAAUAAACGACUUACCAAUUUGCUACGAAAGCAAAUAGGCCUUGUGUUGCGGAUAGAACGUUAUAGGCAAGAGCUCCUGUAGCUUCAUCUUAGUAUAUUUGAGCACACUUCAGGUCACUCCGCUAUUUCCAAAGGAAGAAAGGAAAGACUUUCUAGUUUCUUCUUGCUUGAGCUGAGCACUUAAGCCUUAUGUUAUUUGAUAUUUUUCAAAAAUUUACACUAACACUUCUAACUUUGAGCUUUCAACUAUCAACUUUUUUUUUGAACAUAUGUUUAAACUCUCUUAAUUGAUAGUUCGUAGGAUUGAACCCCACCCCCACAUUUCAAAUUUGGGUGGCUUGCCACUAGAAAAAAAAUUGAUAUUUAAUUUUGUAAUACAUUUUCUUAAUCUUGUGCAACUAUUUUCUUUCCGAAAAAAUGUGUUUGUAUAUAUAUGACUAACUAGUUUCUAACCCGUGGAAACCACGGUUACUAAAUUAAUUAACCUCUCAUAGUAAAAAUUCGUACUUAUUAAUCAAUUAUUUUAAAUAAAUUAUUAAUUAAGAGAUAUAUGAAAAUUUUAAAGUUAUUUAUAACUUCAAAUUUAACAUAUAAUUAAAAAAAAAGUAAAUGUUUCUAUAAAAAGUUUAAAUUUUAUUAUUAAAAAACCUUAUCGUCAUUAAUUAUGAUAGUGGUUUGCUUAAUAUAUUUUUCCUGACAUGUAGCAUAAUAUUAAUGAGAAGUUGUAUUAAAGUGAUAUAUGUCAAAAGAAUAUUAAAGUUAUUCUUUUAUUAGUAUUAGUAUAGGGAUGGAUUUUUUAUUUUUGAGAAAUAUUUGGUCAAAUGAGUGUGAACUUUUUAUUUUAAAAAAUAAAAAUAAAAAUAAAAAUGAGUGUGAACUAAUGAAAUAUUCAUAGUAAACAAUUAUAGGGAUAUUAAGUUUUCGGUUUCCAUUCACACACAUAAUCAAUUGUUGACGUGGCCUUUAACAAUUUUGUUUGAGCAUAUAAUUGGUGGUUGGUGUAUGACACUUUAUAUGUAUGUCCUACAUGUUGUUUUGCAAUAUCAUGUGUUUAUGGUUACACUCAAAGAUGGAUAAUGUUCCUGAUGGAUGUGUUUUAGAGGCUGAAUUUGUUAAUAAUAUAGACAUUAAAGCAACCACUAAGAUUUCUAUAUAAAUUAAAAAUAAAAGCAUCCACGACGUCCCUACUUCACUUAUACCAUUACAUAACAAGAUGUUGAGUGCUCACCAAAUAAUCUUAAAAGAGGACCAAUGAAUUGUCAAAAUUAAAUUUAUUGAAAUAUAUGCCUAUUACCCUAUCUUAAUUUUGAAAGAAUCAGAUUUAUUUGUUUGGAUUUAAUUUGGACAACUUGUUGUAGGACAUUGCCACUUUUCCAUGUGUUACAUAUUUGUUCGUGGGCUUAGUCAGCAAUGCAAUUGGACUCACUAUUCAGGGCUUGUAGGAGAUCUGGUUGGACCUGCAGUGUUGAUACAAGCCAAGAGUAGGACCAAAAGUGAGAGAAGUUGUAGAAGUUAAGGACGGGGGCUUGUGUUUGAUAUUCUUAGUCAACACUCGGAUCUUUUAACCCAGUUUCCGACCCGAUCGUUUAACCUAGUUUCCGACCCGAUGGUGUUAGUAACACCCAUGUAUAUAAGGCUAGAUCAACCACUAAAUUUUGCAUCACUACAAGAAAGUAGAGCAUUACCGGCGACAGACGUCGUCGCUAAAAGCGCGCCUUGUCGCCGCUAAUAGUAUUAGCGGCGACGUGUCGUCGCUAAAACGUCGACGCUGAUGUUUUGUCGCUAUUAAUCAAACUGUCGCCGCUAAUGCGUGUCUGUCGUCGCUAAAACCCGUCGCCGCUAAUAAGCACACGUCGUCGCUAAAACUCGUCGCCGGUAAUAAGCUAUUGUCGCCACUAAAGGUGUCGCCGGUAUUAGUUUUUUUCUUUUAAAAAAAAAAAAAACUAGUAUGAUAUUAAUUAAUCUAAUCCUACAUCAUUCCAUUCCAAAAUAUUAAUACAAUAUCCGUUUAAAAUACUCGUCUGAUUUAACCUAGAACAAAAUAUCGAAAAUACUAGUCUAAAAUACUUGCACAAAUAAAACAUAAAAAAAUCCUACAACUAUCUACUCGUCAUCAUCGCUCUCCUCGUUUCCUCCGGUUUCAUUUCGUUGUGGCAACGAACGAAACCAAUCUUCAAGUGCAGCACUACAUGCCGGAUCUUUUAACAUUGUUUGAAGCAUUUCCAACUACAAAUAAAACAACAUAGUCUUAUAAGUAAACUAGCAUUAUAACAUUCUAUAUACAAAAUAUACAUUCCACAUAUUGGGUAUAAAACAUUAUAACAUUGUACUAUAACUAAUAAUUACCAAAUUUUGAAACUAUUACUAAACCAACAAUUACCAACAUUUUAAACAAUUACCAAAAUUAAAUAAUCUUGUCACCUGUGAUUGUGGUGGUGGCUGUGUCAUUGGUUGUUCCUGAUCGUACAUCGAAACAACCGUAGAAGGUUUACGCCCGAUGCCUCUGAUAUGGCCACGUCGAACACCCAAUAUUUUUUCAAAACAAUUUUGUGUAUCCUUUGGUGUUAGACCGCUGGCUUCAGAGGAAGCUUGAGUUUGUUGACUGAUCUUAAAGAGUAAAGCAUUCUGUAUUUUCAAAAAAGAAAUAAAUAUAAUAAAAAUUAGAUUACUAACUACCCUUUGACGAUAUAAGCACUUAUAUGAAAAUACAAAUUAACCACUUACGUAUUGUUGCUCGACUGCAGGACUAGUAAACACCCCUUGGCGAUCAGUAUUGGCCUUACGAAAUGCUUCGAUUCGAGCGAUGUCCUAUUUCACAUUAAAAAUUAGAUUAAUUAUAAUUUAAAUAAACAGUUAAAUAUAUCAUAGCUUACUUCUUUGAAACAUGCAUUGCUAUACGAGCACGAUCCCCCUCUGUUUACAACUUGUUGUUGUGCACGGACUCCUUUGUUUGACGCCGAACGCUUUAGAAAUUCAGGAGUUUGAAAAUGCUCGACUGCUUGCGCCCAAUUUUCACGUGACAUACCAUCGAGGGGGUUGGCUAAUGCCCUUGGGAUAUCUGUAAGCCCCCCGACAUUCUCAAAAUAAGUAUGUGCUUUAUUUUUUCGUCCUCUAUAAAUUCUUUGCAAGGUCGCGUCAAUGCUCUGCAACAACUGAGCACGCUCGGGAUCCAAGUUAACCUUAUCUAAAUCAAACUUAUUCUACAAAUACAAAAAAGUUAGUUAGUUAAAUACCAAUUAGAACUAAAUUUAAAAUAUUGUCCAAGUUACCUUUAAAUGAACCACUGUGGCAUUCCUUAAAGCGGGGGAAACAUUGUCCCAACCAGAUACGUUCAAAGGGAUGUUCAUCCAUAUAUACUUCCCAAUCUCACGGGUAAACCAAUUACCAUGGUUCCCGAUAGGGGAAUAUGUCAACUCUCUAUCGAAAUCCAAAUCUACAGGUUUUCCCUUGUUUGCCCGUAUUAUCUUUGAUAAUUGAAUGUUUUUUGCUAGGCCUCUUCUUUUCUUAGGGAGCUCAGCUGAAAAAUAUAAUUAAAAAUAUUAGUCAUGAUAACUUAUAAUAAAUGGAUAAAAAUAUCUAACAUAUAUAUCAUAAUAAGACUUACCAUCUUGUUCGUGUUGACAACGACCAAAACCUCCGGGAGGUGGUGGAUCCCCGGCUCCAUCACCUCCAUGUCCUAAGCCCAUAACAUCCGCCAUCACGUAGAAGAGUAUCGCCCAACUAAACCCCAUAUAUAACCUGCAAAAUUACAAUAUGAAUAGAAUUUACACAUAUUACAUAUACAAAAAUAAUACAGUUUCUAUUAUAACAUUGUAGUUUCCAAAUUGCAUACAAAUACAUACACAAUAUAACAUCAUACUUUUUUUUCCUUUAAUAUUGCAUCCUACUUUUUGUUCAAUUUUUUCCAUGAACUAAUUUAUUAUACAAAUAUAACCUUUAUAAAAAAUAUCAUUUAAGUCAGUAACAAAAUGGUAAGAAAUUAAUAAUUUCUAAAAUUUAAUUAAUCUAAGGCUUACUUAAUCUAAAAUAAAUCAAUAUUAUAAAAAAUAUAAAUAACUUUCUGAAAUUUUACAUUAAAACUUUGGAUUCAAUUUACACAUAUUACGACUAGAUUUUUAAUUAUUUUUUAGAGCAAGGGACCAAAAUCGUACAAAUCAGAAGUUGAGGUUUGAUCAUAUAUAUUUUGUAAUGGAGUUUGGUUAAAUCAGGAGGUUUGAUACCUCCUGUAUCCUCAUCAUCGUUCAUCCCAAAUGAGAAGCAAAAAAAAAGAUACAAAUUAAUUGCCUUGUGUUUAUCAUCUACCAACAAAUCAAGAGAUUAAAAGGGCCAACAAAUCAAGAGAUUAAAAGGGGAUGGAUGGAGUGGACUUAGGAAGAAGGAAGCUAUAAACAAUAUAAAAUGCAUACAAUCUAACAAAUUGCACAAACACUUUUAAUCUCAAAAUUACUAACAAUUUAUCAUACAACAUAGCAACAAAACACGAAAAUAAUAGAAAAUUGGAGAAAUUUGACCUUGAAUGUGGGCAAUUUCGGUAUUGAGCUCAAGGAUCGCCGGUUUUCAACGUUUUGAGGGAAGCUAUGGCGGUCUUAUGGUGGCAGAAGGGGCUAGCACCGGUAAUUUACCUUCGUCCUCCACUUAGUCGAAGUGAUCAAACCGAGAAGCAGCAACAGAAACGAGAGAAGGAAAGGAUACAAGCAGAGGAAAAAAUGUCACCGAAAAGGAAACUGGAAAGGGUAAUCUGUAAUGGGUAUUAGCGGCGACAAGCAAUAGCGGCGACAGAAGGGUAAUAGCGGCGACAUCAGGGCAAUAGCGGCGACACCUUUGGAGGGAAAAGUUAGCGCGUUUUCGCUUUCCUCUACAACCGUUGGAUUGAAAUCAAAUCGGACGGAUAGGGAUAAUUUGACACGGAUCGCCGAUUUUGAGCAUUACCGGCGACGCGUAGCAAUAGCGGCGACGUGUAACACGUCAAUUACAUGUCGCCGCUAUUGCUCUCCGUCGCCGCUAAAAGCGUCGCCGGUAAUGCCAACAUUUCUUGUAGUGCAUCUGGUGUGACAGCACCAAAAUGUAUUAAAAGUUAGUUUAAUUAUAAUCUUGCAUGUUGUAUAUUCUGCAAAAAAAAAAAAAAAAGUUCGUUACAACCUUUCAGACCAUAGUUCUUGCAAAGAAAAACAUUUAUUUCUAUUAUUGAUAUUUGAGAAUCUUAUCUUAUUAUGAUUUUACUUAAAAAGACAGAAUUAGGGGCAUUGUUUGAAGAACCACUAGCAAAGGAUCCUAACUUGUAGGAUUCUUCCCUAGAACACAUUGCACAGAUGUUCUCUCUUUAAAAUGUUACUUGUAAAUUGAGAAUAUGAAUAAUCUAAAUCCACUCAGUUGCAUCAUUCGUGUCGUAGGUUGUUGGAAGCAUCGCAAACACCCACAAAUUGAAUUUAAUCGUUAUCAUAAUCUGAUAAAUUAUAACUUCUCUAAACACAUGCAUGCAUUAAUUCGUUGGUAGACAUUAUAUAUGAUAGACCCAUCAAUUUUAUCAUAAGUUUCUUUUAGGUUAGUCCAAACAUCCACCAACACUUUGAGAGAACCUGGCUAACAUAUAAGUUUUAUGACACAACCUAAAAACUUGGACAAAACUAAAGCAACAACCAUAUGCCAAUAUCUAUCCUGUAACUCAUCGUUCUCAGUCCGAAAACAAGAGUCAUUCACAAACCCUAGCUUAUUCUUAGCGUUAAGGACUAGUUUAAUUAGUAGCACAGUGUGUUACAAUGUUACUGAUCAUCUUUUUCAAAAUAGUACAUCGCAACCUACAAACUUUCAUCAUUGGACAAUCGAUUUAGGGAAAAAUAUCCAUCAACUUUUAAAUCCAUCUUCAAAUGUUGAUCUAUUUCUUUUAUUUGAUUCCUGUUGGAAUAGCACAACUGACAUAUAUUCUUCUCUGUAGAGUUUUUUGUUUGUUUGAACAGAUGCUUAGAGCAAAUCUGGACAACACCAUCAUCUUCUUCCUUUUCUCUUUCAUAUUUUGUUUUUGCUGAUAAUUUUUAAAAUAAAAAGGUUUUGUUUCACUCUUUUAGGCUUUCAGGUAACCAUCAGCUGCUAAAGAAACUUGGAUGCACUGCUCUUAGUUAUAUCAAAACAUAUAUAUUAAUUUUUGUUUAAGAGGCUUCUUAGAUGAAGAUGAUGUGUUUGUAUUGUAUUAGUCUAAUAUAGUGGUUUGAUAUGUAAUUAAUAGGUGAAGCUGACUAAAACAAUUACUUAACAAGUGAAACUACUAGCAAAAGGUGAAGAUGAAAGUACAUACAUGGUUACCCUAAUAAGAAAAACAUGAUUCAAGAAGAAAACAUGAAACUAGCAUGCUAAAACAAACAAGUCAUGUGUGUUUUUUCUGUUGCGAUCGUUUCAAGGUUGACAAUCUACUUUUGUCCAACCAGAGUUUUACCAGAGCUUUUGGAUUCAGUAAAGUGUGUAUGUGUGUGCUAUGAACAAAUGUGAUAAAUGGUUACCCUAACAAGUCAUUUCCCCUUUUUAUUAUACCCUUAAUGGUUAUUAUUAUUACUUUUUUAAAACAACUUUCUUAAAUAAAAAUAGAAAAUAUAAACUUUUUAUGAUGCCUUAUUUCACACAGCGGUGAAAAAUGGCCACCAGUGGUCUUGGAGGCAAUUUUAUUGAAAAAUGGGACUUAAAAACCCAUGCCAAAUACAAAAAUGAAACAUUGUUUUACAUGACUAUAUAUGUUCAUCUUUUUUGCAAAUUUGCAAUGAACAUCACCACCUUCACAUAAACCCAAUCUUCAAAGCUAUCAAGAAACAUAAAAAAAGCAAAUCUUCCACGACGGUUGAGAAGCAAAGCACCACAUGCUAUGCAAAAUCCAACAAUGAAACCAAUGGCCCCACCAACAUCGAACCAACCUUGAACAUAGGUAGGGUAUUAUUUUAAUGUAACAAUGUUGAUUUUCUGAGUUGAACAUUGAUUUAAUGAUGAACAAAUAAGGCCCUAGGAAACAUAAGGUGAAAUAUAUUAUUAAUUAUAGUCUUAAAGAAAAGCAAUGUAUAUGGAUGGAUCAUCCUUGGAGCACUAUAUUUCCUAGAAAAUUUGUUGAUUAAUCCAAGUUUAUUGGUUACAUAUGUACAAAACAAGUGACUAAAGAAUGACCCAAUGGGACAGUUGUUUACUGUCGUAUAGUCAUUUUCCCUUUUUAUCAUUACCCUUAUUUAGGCCUGCCAAUCGUGUCGUGUUCGGGUUGGCGUGUCGCGGGUUGGCGGGUCAAAAUAUGCCAACCCAAACACGACCCAUUUAAAUAUACAAGUUACGGGUUGACAUGUCACGGGUUGGCGGGUUUGGAACCUAAACCCAUAUAUGACCCGCCAACCCAUUUAUUAAUAUGGGUUCAUAGGUUGGCGGGUUCGUGGGUCAGAUUUGGGUUCGUGGGUACGAAUUUUAGACAUUUAAGUCUUAAACAUCCAAAUGAAAUUUAAAAACAUUCAUAGAAACAUGUUACAGACUUGACAUUAUAAGUUACGACUUACGACCUUAGACCAUCCACUUGGAGUCAAAAUGUCAAAAUUGUCAAAUGGUCUAUGAAUCAAUGGUAUAUAUUAUAUAAUACUUAUUAAAUAUUAAUACUUGAUACAUAAAUACAUUUAAAAAUAAAAUGAUUUUUUUUUAUUAAGAAUAUAAACGGGUUGACGGGUCAACCCGUUUAUUUUUUGAGAAACUCAUAUAUGACCCAUUUAAUAAGCGGGUUGGCGGGUUAGCGGGUUGACGGGUUGAAAAACUCAACCCAAAUCCAUUUAUUUUGUGUCGUGUCGUGGGUCGUGUCGCAGGUCGUGUCGAGAAUUGCCAGCCCUACCCUUAUUGGUUAUUUAAAACAAAUAAAUAAAAAUAAUAAAUAACUUUCUAAAAUAUAAACUUUUUAGGAUGCCUAAUUUCACACAACGGUGAAAAAUGGCCAUCCGUCGUGUUUGUGGCAAUUUUAUUGAUAAAUGGGACUUAAAAACCCAUGCCAAAUACAAAAAUGAAACAUGGUUUUACAUUUAUCUAUGUUCAUCUUUUUUGCAAAUUUGCAAUGAACACCACCACCUUCACAUAAACCCAAUCUUCAAAGCUAUCAAGAAACAUAAAAAAAAAAAGUAAAUCUUCCACGACGGUUGGUGAGUAAAGCACCGCAUGCUAUGAAAAAUCCAACUGUGAAACCAAUGGCCCCACAAACAUAGAACCAACCUUGAAGUUCGUCUAUACCUUCCCCCUCACUUUCACACCAAUGCUAUGUUGUAUUCUCGAUUCUUCAUCUCCAGGACAUUUUUUGGUAAGGGGAGGUCCACAAAGCCCUAAGUUCCAUUCGUAUCUUGAAGGGUCAAAGGACUGAAGUUGUGCGCUGGAUGGGAUUCUCCCUGACAAGCUAUUAUCUGAGACGUCUAGGUAAUUUAGCCAAGUCAUUUGAGAAAUGGUUGAUUGUAUUUCUCCUGAAAACUUGUUUCUAGAUAAAUCCAAAGUUAAAAGAUUUUUCAUCUGACCGAUUUUCCAUGGAAUCUUUCCACGUAGAGCAUUCUUUGAUAAGUUCAGUGCAAUUAGUUCAUCAAGAUUGGUAAUCUGAUAUGGGAUUUCCCCUGUUAAGUUGUUGCUUAACAGGUUGAUGCUCCUCAAUAAUACCAUAUUACUACGGAUGAAUUCACGUUCAGUUCCUUGCCACUGGAUCAUCACAUGGUCAACAUUAUAUGAAUAUGUUAUUAAUGAAUAAUCUACUUGAGAGAAUCCUUCUGUCACCAUGAUCUUAAAAUUACUCAAACAUGAGGGGAUGGUUCCAUGGAAAUGGUUCACGGACAAGUCUAGAAUUUGAAGACUUGCUAAUUGACAUAAUUGUAAAGGAAUGUUUCCAGAGAAGUUGUUUGAUCUUAACGUAAGAACAUACAACCCAAAUAAGUUUUCCCCAAUCCAAACAGGCAAAUUACCAGAAAACUUGUUAGCCCCCAAAUUCAAUGAUUUUAAGCUCGUGCAAUUCUUAAUAGACAAAGGAAAUUCAUCAGAGAAAUCGUUCUUGUAUAGAUCCAAUGCCUCGAGCUUAAUCAUAGAUCCAAGAG
rnacentral:lncRNA from 1 species